UCCGUGCAUGUGCCCAUAGCCUAUGGGCACACACUGGACAAACUCUCUUUAUAAUGUUGCAUGGAGUUGACAAUCAAGGAAGCUUCUCUGGCAUAAGGCAAGAGGAACAUAUCCAUGUUUUUACAUUGCCAAGUUUAGCUGGAUCCUCUGGCCUAAUGGCAGAUGAUUCUAUGGAAUAGUGACAGCAUCUUAAUGAUAGAUAAGGCAGAAUUGGUGGGAAGCACAUGGAAUAUUAUAAAGUAGGUGAUUGCAAUUUGUGAAUAUAAAUGAUGUGAAGUUGUCUCCACCUCACAUUCUUGAUAGUACAGACUACAGAACAAGCAAGCAGUCAUCUGCAAGAAGAGAACACAUGGGCCUUGUUUUUUACUCUGUUUAUAGCUGUUGGGAAAGUCUCUACCCAUUUUUGCACAAGAUCUCCCACUCCUGACAAAGCUGCCUGCAUCUUACCGUAUCUUCUUAAUCAUUGGCAGAGAAUUCUUCUAGUAGCAUGUAGCAGUAAAUUCUAACUUUGUCUUCUUUCUUUAGAUAUGCAGCUUAAUGUAAAUAGUAGAAUUCUAACUUUAUUUGCUUAAUAGAGUAGGUAUUAGUAUCAGGGUCCAGGUCUGUGCCAGGGACCCCAUAACCAACACUCAGUAUUCUGGCCGUUGGAUGAAUAUCCAGCGGCCGAGAUUAUAACCUACGUCCAGCGCUUUUUAACCGCUGGACGAGGUCCUUUUCCGGUUAAAAAAUGUUGGAUGUAUUAUACUUUUGUUUUAAUCCUGACUGUCGGAUAUUCAUCUAACGACCAAGAAACUAGAAAUUGAUUUGUGAAUAGAUAUUCAUUUAACGAUCAAGAAACUGAUUUGUAAAACAGCCAAGAAACUGAUUUGUUAACAGAUACCUGAUAUACGUAUGUUGAAUGUCAGGGACCUGGAUCCUAGUAUUAAAGGUCCAGGACCCGGACCCUUAGUAUUAAGGUUAUCAAAAUUUUCUUAUAAUCCACUGUGUUCUCCAUUUUAGCUUAUUAUUGAAGUAGGAAAAGUGUAUAGCUUCAAAGUGCCGUUGGAAAAGUGUAUAGCUUCAAAGUACCAACGCCUAACGGCUUUUUAAUGUCCCACCUGUUUGUUUUCUUUCAGGUUGUAGCUCUUACAUGAAUGGGGUAAUGAAAGGGGAUUAGUACUGUAAAUGAUUUGAUUUCUCCGUCGCAGGAUUUGACCCAACCUAUUAAUUUUAUGAUUAAAAGUACAGUAACUGAAUAUGCAUAAUAUUUGUCUUUUAUAAAGAUAAUUGGUGAUCUGAGUUGCAAGUAAAUUGCAAGCAAUGUUGUCGGUGAAAGAAUAAAACGGUAGUCGGUAGGAAAAAGGAACAAAUGGGUCCUUUGGAAAAAGAAAAAGAGAUAAAUAUGCGAACAAAAUGAUGACCAAUAAAAUGGCCAAAUUUAACGGCAGUUUUUGGGCAAAGGUUAUCUACUUGUCUCCUCUCUUUGUAAGAGGAAGUUGUGAUGAGUUUCCUGUUUUCAGUAAUAAAAUAUUAGAAGAAAAGUAAUUUUGUUGUAAAUCAUGUAAUAUAUACUAUUAAACUAUACGAAAAUAGAAAAGAAAUUAUCCUGAAAAGUAUAAAGAGAAUAGAAGAUGCACAGAGAAGGUAGUUUGUAUUUCAGUAUAUUUCAGAAUAGAAUCUAUUUCAACUGAACCAGCUAUUUAUAGAGGUUGGUUGAUGAAUCUUCCUAACUAAGAUUUACAAUACUUCUAGGUUAAGUAUUAUUAUUCUUCUCGAGUAAGUAUCGUAAGUCUUCCUCGAUAAGUUAUGCGAGUCUUCGCUAGUAAGUUUCGCCAGACUUCCUUGAUAAGUUUUGUGAGUCUUCCUUAGUAAGUUUCGCCAGACUUACUUGAUAAGUUUUGCGAGUCUUCUUGACUAAGCUUUUGACAAUCAUUUAAUAUAUUAUUUUAUAACACUCCCCCUUGAUUGUCAAAUGCGAGUUAUCAUAGAGAUUAACUGCCUCGUUAAAACCUUGCAAGGAAAAACCCAGUGGGAUAAAAAACCUUGUCGAAGGUAAAAGAGUACAGUCUCCCCCUGAAUUAAAUUACUCACAUUUCGACAUCUUGAUCUAGUAGACUUCCUUGUCGAAGGUAAAAGAGNNNNNNNNNNNNNNNNNNNNNNNNNNNNNNNNNNNNNNNNNNNNNNNNNNNNNNNNNNNNNNNNNNNNNNNNNNNNNNNNNNNNNUUUAAUAUAUAGGUUAUUGGAUGAACGAACUUGUUGUACAUCAAUAUCCCCAUUUUCUUGAAACUCCUGAGUAUAGAAGAAUUCUAACAAUAUGUGUUUUGUUCGAUCUCCUUAGACAUGUCUUUCCUUGAGUUGUCUUAACCAAAUACAUCAUUUGCUUGCUUCAUGAAUUUCUAGUAACUUUGUUUGUGAUCGCCCAAAGUGAAGAUCUGACAUGUAUCCAGCAUCUUUUAGUUGGGCCAGAAUUGAAUCUCGCCAACAGGUUCACAACAAAUGCAAUAUAAGGGCUCCAAUUGCACGAAGGUAGGAAACUUCAGAUCCGUGUGCUUAUUCAUCCUAUUUUUAGGAUGGAAGGGAUCCUUUUCAACCUCGAGUGAUUGACAAACCAUUGGCGUGUUUAGUGGAUGAGCUUUGUCCACGUAGAACCGAUCAAGGAUCUUUUCAGUGUAGUUUGAUUGAUAAACAAAUAUGCCUGAAGAUAAGUGUUCCACCUGUAUACCUAAACAAAAUCUUGUCUUUCGAAGAUCUUUCAUUUCAAAACUCAUUUUUCAAAUGGUUAAUAGCAUUAGUAAUAUCUUCAAAAGUACCAAUAAUAUUCAAAUCAUCCACAUAUCAACAAUUAUAACAAAAACGGUUGGUGAACGUUGAAUAAAAAUGCAAAGACAUACCUGGUGAUUAACAUAUCCAUCAUUCAAUAAUUAUUUACCAAGCAUGUUGUACCACAUACGACCAAAUUGUUUCAAACCAUAUAAUAAUCGUUGGGAUAUAACAUAAUAUAAAUGUCAAGGCUUAGUGUCCUCUAUCUCUAAUCCUAUGUUGAAUAAAAAUGCAAGAAUAUACCUGGUUAUUAACAUAUCCAUCAUUCAAUAAUUACUUACCAAGCAUGUUGUACCACAUACGACCAAAUUGUUUCAAACCAUAUAAUGAUCGAUGGGAUAUAACAUAAUAUAAAUGUCGAGGCUUAGUGUCCUCUAUCUCUAAUCCUUCAGGGAUUUUCAUAAAAAUAUCACUAUCAAGUGAUCCAUAAAAGUAUGCUAUCACAACGUCCAUCAGACGUGUUUCCAAAGCCAUACUCAUUAUAAAAUGAGAGGUAACUCCAUCCAUUACAGGAGAGUAUAUUUCCUGGUGAUUAAAAUUAUACCCAUUAGGAAAUAAAAGUAACUCUAUCCCUUAUAGGAGAGUAUGUUUCCUAAUAAUCAAAUCCAGGUCUCUGAGAGAAUCCUUGGGCUAUCAACCAAAAAAGUAACUCUACCCCUUAUAGGAGAGUAUGUUUCCUGAUAAUCAAAUCCAGGUCUCUGAGAGAAUCCUUGGGCUAUCAACCAAGCUUUAUAUCUCACAAUUUCAUCUCUCAUUUCAUUUUCAUACAAAUACUCAUCUAUUCCCAACAGGGACUUCACCAGCUGGUGUUUAAACUAUAGGUCCAUAUACAUUUACCUUGCGCAAGAAUUGCAAUUCUUCCUAGAUUGCAAUUUUUCAUUUUGGCCAAUCAUAUCAUUGUCGACACUCUUCCACACUUUGUGGUUCAAGAUCGGAGUUCAUAAUAAUAUUGCAUACAUAUCGCAAUCUCAAUACUCCCACGAUCCAAUUAUCUCAUUGUCGACACUUCUCCACACUUUGUGGUUUAGGAUCGGAGUUUAUAAUAAUAUCACAUACAUAUCAUCAAUCUCAAUACUCCCACGAUCCAAUCAUCUCAUUGUCGACACUUUAGGAUCGGAGUUUAUAAUAAUAUCACAUAUCACGGAAAAACAUACACAUCAUCAAUCUUAGUACUCUCACGAUCCAAUAAUUUCCCUUUAUGUACAUAAAUUAUAGAGAUCUCAUAACUUUCAGGUACCUUUGCUUCCAUGGAAGCAUUUGCCACUUCUGGGGCAUUUGCCACUUCUAGGGCAUGUGCCACUUCUGGGGCAAUUUCCUCUUCAGGAGGAUUUGUCACAGCCACUUCAGGGGCUUGAACCUCUUCAGGAGGCAAUACCACUUCUGGGGUAAGCUAUCAGCCAAGCUUUAUAUCUCACAAUUUCAUUUCUCUCAUUUCAUUUCCAUACAAAUACUCAUCUAUUCCCAACAGGGACUCCCCCAGCUGGUGUUUAAACUAUAGGUCCAUAUACAUUUCCCUUGCGCAAGGAUUGCAAUUUUUCAUUUUGGCCAAUCAUAUCAUUAUCGACACUCUUCCACACUUUGUGGUUCAGGAUCGGAGUUCAUAAUAAUAUCGCAUACAUAUCGCAAUCUCAAUACUACCACGAUCCAAUCAUCUCAUUGUCGACACUUCUCCACACUUUGUGAUUUAGGAUCGGAGUUUCUAACAAUAUCACAUACAUAUCUCAAUACUCCCACGAUCCAAUAAUUUUCAAUUAUAUACAUAACUCAUUGAGAUCUCAUAAUUCUCAGGUAUCUUUGCUUCUAUGGAAGCAUUUGCCACUUCUUGGGCAUCUGCCACUAAUGGGGCAUGUGUCACUUCUGGGGCAUUUCCUCUUCAGGAGGAUUUGUUACAGCCACUUUAGGGGUUUGAACCUCUUCAUGAGGCAAUACCACUUCUGGGGUAUGUAUUUGUCACUUCUGGGAUAAUAUCAUAUUUCAAAGAAAAUCCCGUUUUAAAGGAUUUUGUUUCAGCCGCUUCAGGGGCUCAAACCUCUUCAGGAGGUAAUACCACUUCCGGGGUAUUUUAUGGAAUGGUUGCCAUUUCUUGGCAAAUCUAAUUAAUUUCCGUUUCAUAAUACAAUAACCUCUAUAAGGGGUAAUACCGCUUUUAUGGUAUAUAUCAAAAAGCUUGGCACUUCUGGGGCAAGUACAAUCAAUUUGUAAUUUCACAGUACAAUGUCAUAUGUACGAAUAGAUUUCACAGUACAAUUCUUCAAGAAUUGCUUUAUAAAUCAGGAUUUCAAUCCUUACCAGAGCAUUAAUAGCAUGUAUGUGUGAGAAUAUGUCUAAAAGCUCUAAAAGAAUCCGGCAUUUGAUUAUCAAUAUUUUGCAUAUGAAUACCUCUUUGAAGUUAUGACCCAUAUUAUUAGUACGUAGAUUAAUAUAAUCAAAAUCGAUGCAUUCGAAGAUAUCACAUAAUUUAUGCAAAAUAUUUUCUCCCCUGAUUUAGGGAAUAUAGAUUCACCAAAAUGACAAUCAGCAUACCGAGCAGAAAAAAAAUCCAAUUAAUGGUUCUAGAUACUUUAUAUUAAACGGAGAAUCAAAACCAACAUACAUACUAAUUGUGCCCUCAGUGUAGUUCUUUGUGACAAUGCAAUAAGGGCACAUUCUUCAAUUAUCAAAAGUCCUCCACUAAUAUCUCUAAAAUCCUUUUAAUGACCAGUUAACCAAAAGAUUGUCUAUGACAAUCAUAUGAUUCGAUUUUAUUUUAUUAAUGAAGUACUAUUUGACAAGAUACUAAAUAAUUGUAGGUCACAUAACUCUUUACUCUAUUGAUUAUUUAGGCAAGUAAUUUGGUAAAGGCAUAUAAGGGACCAUCGAGUUGACGCAUCAAUUAAAACCAUAAAGUACCUAAAUGUGCUAAAAGAUGGAUGAAUAGGACCACAAAUGUCACCUUGAAUUCUUUCUAAGGAUUUCAGGGAUUCAGUUUGAAGCUUAAAUGGGGAUGGUCAGACAAUCAAUUUUCUUAAGAAACAUACUGAACAAGAAAGUUCAUCUUGGGGUAUUACCUUUUGAGUUUUAAAAGAUGUCCUGUAGAAUCUUCAAUAAUACGACGCAUCAUAGAUAUUCCUAGAUGACCAAGCCUUUCAUGCCAAGGAAAAAGUAGUUUUAGGUUUGUUACUUUGGGAAUGUUGACACUGAGAUUCAAUAACACUUAUUCUUGUAACAUAUAAUCCUGAAGAAAUUGAGUGAAAUUUUUAUUGGACCUUUUUAUUGUCAAUUGUGUCUGAGGUUAUGAGAAGAUAUUCUUUUUCAUUCUCAUUAGUAAUUUCAAUGUGAAAGCCUUUUACAAACGAGUAUCUUUAAACCUUAGUAGGUUUCUAGUUGUCUUUCUAGAGUAUAGAGCAUCUUAUGUGCGUCUUAUUUGUCAGAAUAAAACUAGCUUCCAAUAAACCUCUACUAUAUAUGAUGUACCCGAUACCGUCCAGACAUGUAAGUUGGUUUUAUUAGUCAACUGUGAAAGUAUUUCUAACUUUGUAAAAUAGUGUGUGUGCUUGUGCAAUCAUUAAUGCAUAUAUCUUCCAUCUCCAUACAUAUAUAAAUGAAAAACAUCUUUUAAAAACACACAGAGUAUAUUAAACAACAACAUGAAAAAAGCUAAUAAAGAAAAUAAGUAAAACAGAAAGGAAAUAAGUAAAGCAAGACAAUACAUAUGAAGUCUAGCAACCAUAAUAAAGGUUAGCACCAGUAUCUAUUUCAUUUGAGACCUUAUUGAUUGGUUCAUCAACUAGAUUAUAAUUAGCAAAGUUUGUUUCUACUCUCUUUCAUUAUUCCUUUUGAAUAACCCAUAGAGAUCAACAAGAUGUUUAGGUGUGCGAUAGGUACAUUGCCAAUGUCCCUCAGAUUGCACCAAUGACAUAUGCCUCGGUUCUCUCCUUCUUGGGGUGCCUUUCUUUUGGCACUUCACGUUGCCAUUUCUAGUGGCCUGAGUUGUAACCAUCACGUUACCACUUCAGGUGGCCCGAAUGAUAAUGAUUUCGAAACCGACUACAGAAAUUUUCACGUCCACGGUUCCUUCCAUAACCUCGUCCUCCUCUACGCCCUUUCCCACGCUCAUUCUUCAGGAAUGACGUGUUAUGUACUUCAGGUAACCGGGCAGAGCCUAUGGGACGUAUCUGAUGGUUUUUCAAUAGCAACUCAUUAUUCUUUUCAGCCACAAGAAGGAGAGAUACCAUCGCGCCAUAUUUUUUUGAAAACUCCGCUCUCUAUAUCGUUGUGCCAGAAUCAUAAUAUUUGGGUGAAAAGUCGAUAUGGUCUUUUCAAUUAUUUCAGCAUCAAUAAUAUUUUCACCAUACAAAAUCAAUUUUGAGCUUAUCUUGAAAAGAGCAUAAUUAUAUUUAGCUACAUAUUUGAAAUCUUGUAACCUCAAAUCAACCAGUCCAGACGGGCAGAUGGUAAAUGAAUAGGUUUCUGGUGAUCAAAUCUAUCCUUGAGAUUAUUCCAAAGGGUGAAGGGAUUUCUGAUAAUGAGAUAUUCAGAUUUUAGGUCUUUAUGGAUGUGAUGUCUAAGAAAGAUAAUUGGUUUGACAUUUUGUGAAACAGCGGGGAUUAUUUUCUUAAUCAAUAGUGUAUUUUAGGCUGUUAGCACUAAGGUGUAAUAUCACAUCAAGGAACCAAGACAGAUAAUUAUUCCCAGAAAUAUCCAAGACAACAAACUCUAAUUUUACAAGGUUCGUCAUUCUGAAUGUAAAAUAAAUAUAUAAAACACAACCUAUCAAUAUUUCAAGUUAAUAAACAAACAAUUUAAUAUCUAUACAGUAUGAUACAACUAAAAAGUUUUAACGACAUUGCCGCCAUUAACAAAUCAAGCAAUAGUAAAUUCAUAAGCAAUAACGAUAGUAAUAAUUGUAAAAUGAGUAGAGAUAGAUCGUACCUUAUUUCCGUGAAAGUCGCAAUUUUUAGAGUUGGUUAUAUUAUACCUGUUUAUGAUGUACCUUGUUUGACUUAUCUCAGUUCGGCAGAGUCUCGUGCUGAUAACGUGUUGUAAAUCUUGUAAUAUAUACUAUUAAACUAUACGAAAAUAGAAACGAAACUAUCCUGGAAAGUAUAAAGAGAAUAGAAGAUGCAGAUAGAAAGUAGUUUGUAUUUCAGUAUGUUUCAGAAUAGAAUUCAUUUCAACUGAACCAGCUAUUUAUAGAGGUUGGUUGAUGAAUCUUCCUAACUAAGAUUUACAAUACUUCUAGGUUAAGUAUUACUAUUCUUCUCGAGUAAGUAUCGUAAGUCUUCCUCGAUAAGCUAUGCGAGUCUUCGUUAGUAAGUUUCGCCAGACUUCCUUGAUAAGCUUUGCGAGUCUUCCUUAGUAAGUUUCGCCAGACUUACUUGAUAAGUUUUGCGAGUCUUCUAGAAUAAGCUUUUGACAAUCAUUUAAUAUAUUAUUUUAUAACAAAUAGUUUUUAAAAUUUGUUCUUUUGCAUAUUUGAUUGGAGAUGUAUAUUUAACUAGUCCUUGCCCAUACAGUAUCUAGUAAUUAAAUUUAUAAAUAGAUUAAUUUUGUUUUUGAAGAAUUUGAAUACGACCAGUUUAAUAUUAUAAAAUUUAAAAUUAAAUGAUUACUGAUAAUAUAUUUUUUAAAAUAUUAUUUCAAAUAUGAUUGAUUGAAAUAACUAUUUUCACAAUGGGUAACGGAUGAAAACAUGAAAACGAACAAAAUAAAUUCAAACAUCAGAUAUUUUAAAAAACGGAUUAAAAUAAAAAAAUAUAUCGGAUUUCAUGGUCAUUCGAGGACCUUGAGGUGGGAGCAUUGAGGAGCUUGGCUUGAACCUUGUGAUGACUACGUUACUUUGCCUUAUACCAUUUUUAAGCUUGCUCGAAAAAUGUUAAGGUCACUGAAAUUUUUUAAAACUAAACGGAAUGAAAAAGAAAAUGCGAGUGAGAGUGAGAGAGGUUGAGAUAAUGAGAAUGAGAUUGUGAGAGAGACAGAAGGAGAGGGGAUAUGAAUGGUGGGGCGAGUGGCGUGCCGAGUUAUGGUUCAAGAUAGCUCAACUCAUAACUGUUUUCGAUAAAUUAAUGACUUGUGUCGAGUUCUGCAUAACCUGCUACGAAUCGAUUUUAAGCUUUUUUUUUCCAACGAGUCGAGGCGAGUUGGGCUGAGUCGACCCGCUCGUUUGGCCACCUCUACAGACAAGUAAACAAAUCCAUAUAAAGGGGAUUAAAAUGGGAAGGGACUGAAUAAAGGGUAAAUCUUUGUUUAAAGUAAAGCUAAUUUUAUAUUAAAAAAAAUAAAAAGAUGCUCUGUAAUCUUUGUAAUUUUUCAGUCAUAUUUUUUGAAAAGGCACCAUUUUACAUGCCAGGUUCAUUUUCUUCAUUUUCUAUUAGCAUUAAGAAAUAUCGAUCUUAUUCACCCAGACCAAAUCAAUUGUUUUUUUGGGGGCAAAUCAAUAUUAUACUGACAACUUUUAUGGGGUUUGGAUCUGCAUUUGACAGUUUUCCCAGCUUUAUCAACAAUUAGAAGGGUUGUGAAAAAAAAUGGGUGCAUGCUGCACAGCUCAAAUUAAAAGAGAAAGAAAUGAUGGAUUACCGGCUAGGAUGCAUGAAGGAGGGAAAGAAAAUGGCAGUGAAGAUAUUGUAACUCAGGGUGAUUUUGGUGCAUUGGUGAGACUGCAAGGAUCCUCUACUUUUGUUUCCAUGUUUUCUCAACAAGGCCGAAAGGGUGUUAAUCAAGAUGCCAUGACAGUUUGGGAGGUAUUUCAGAAUUUUCUUGCAGUAUAUGAUAUGCAUGAUUUUGGUUAGUAGGUUUAUGCAUAUUUUUGGUUUUGUUCUUGUUAAUGUAUCAAAUUUUUUUCGAUUUCGUUGUGUGGAAACAAAAUUUUAAAACAUUAGGGAUUCCCUGGAAUAGAAGUUUGGUUAUGGUUAUACUUCUGCUAUUGAUGAACCUAAAGCUUGAAAUUUUGUUUUGGUUUCAUUCGGUUCUAAUCACCUCAACAACCUGUUUGUUUUUUUGUCAUGUUAUGUUAGCUCUGUGUUUUCAAAAUUGCCUACAACAAGUCCCCUGAUACUUCAUUUUUCAUUUAUAAAUGUCCAUGAAUCUUUUUACAAAGUUGCCUUCUGAUUUUGUUGCACUAUUGAACUACUUUCAGAAGUUUUUUCUCGUCCAAAUUGUACAUUUUCGUUAAAAUCGAGAUAUAUGGAGCACGAUAGUAGCUGAUUCUUAUAUUAUUCCAGAACUAUAUCGGUGAGCAAGAUGCAAUGUUCUGUGGCGUGUUUGAUGGACAUGGUCCUUCAGGUCACAAGGUGUCGCAGUAUGUGCGCAAUGUAUUUCCAUCAAAACUUGCCGAAUCAUUUAAGCAUCCACGAUUUAAUGCAAGCUGCAUUGAUGAAGACCUGAAGUCUGAGAAUGUUGAUGAUCCUGUUGACGAAAACCAUGGUCCACUAUAUUCUUUGGUGAAGGCAAGUUUAGUAGAGUCCUUCAAAGUUAUGGAUGAGGCUCUUGAAACUAAUGGUAAAAUCGAGAGUUAUUGCAGUGGCACGACAGCGGUGACAGUGCUAAAAAAGGUAUAUCUUUUGUUCUUGUUGUGAAUAUGUAUUGCAGAUAUUGAUACUUUAUCUUUAGUUUACACCUUUUGUUCUCCAAAUCCUCAGAACUUUCAUUUGGUAAUUGCAAACUUGGGGGACUCUCGUGCAAUUCUAUGCACAAAAGGUGAUAAAGACCAACUUCUUGCCGUCCAACUCACAGUAGACUUGAAACCGGAACUGCCAUGUAAGGUGUUCACCCUCGACAUUACAUAUGUAGAAAGAUUAUGCAAGUAAAUAAGAUUAUAUAAACCAUGUUAUGAUGUGUCUAGGUGAAUGCGAGAGAAUUUGGAGUUGUAAAGGAAGAGUUAUGGCCUUAGAGGAAGAGCCAACUGUUUAUAGAAUAUGGAUGCCUGAUCAAGAAUCUCCUGGUCUUGCUAUGUCAAGAGCUUUCGGAGAUUUUUGCCUGAAAGAUUAUGGGCUUAUAUCAGUUCCAGAAGUUUUUUAUAGAAAGCUAACAGAGAGAGAUGAAUUCGUGGUGCUAGCAUCAGACGGGGUAAGCGUAAUCAUGUAAAAAAUUGGCAUAACCUAAGGAAGUAAAAGGAUGCUACAUGAUAGUCUUGUCUAGAAGUACUUCUAAUUCAUUAUUUUCUUCAGAUAUGGGAUGUUUUAUCAAAUGAAGAGGUGGUGCAUAUUGUUUAUUCAGCACAGAAGCGAUCCUCAGCAGCAAAACUGCUGGUAAACAGAGCCCAUCGAGCAUGGAAAUGCAAAUACCCGUGUGCCAAAAUUGAUGAUUGCACAGCAGUUUGCUUGUUCUUUAAAAAGCCAUCAUCAAUAAUCAAAUCCAAGUCUGAUACAUCCCAAAUACAAAAGUCGAGUGUGGAACCUCAUUUUCAACAGGGUAACUUAACCACUGAAGACGGUCUUGAAAGUAUCAUAGAUUCUGACAUUGCAACUGAUCAGACUGCUCAAGGAAGCUCUACAAAAAAAAAUAUUUCUACAUAUUCUCAGCGGACUGGCCUUAUGGUGAGCAAGCGUAGACCGACUCGAAACAUUGGUCUUAGACAUUGAUAAUAUAUAUAGAAAGCUUGUAGCUUUGGAAGAAAAGAAUAUGUUUCUAAGAUGAAGAAUUUCAGUUACUGAGGGAGCCAUGUCUUUUUGCUGCCAAAGGGUUAACCUAAAAUAUCAAACAUUUUUAUUGAUUUCACCCUUUAAUCCUUCUUUGUAAAAUUUUAUAACCUCAAUCUUGGUCAUUUGAUAAGACUACACAUGAAAACUUUACUAUUGUAGGGUUGCCAAGAUCAAUUUUAGCAUCCACUUCGAGCAAGUUUUUGUAUAUGUUCAUCAUAACUUCUUUUUUAUGAUAUAUUUUUUGCAGUCAAAGUUUAAUAAAAAUGAAACGAAAUCUGAGUAGCAAAGAUGUGAUGCUAACACUUUUUGGAUGAUAAAACAAUCCUUUGAUCUGAGAAUUAUAACAUUCGAUGCAUAACUUUUAAUUUCUUUUUUUUAUAACUUCGAAGCUUCAUAAUUUUAUAACCAAUUUUGUUAUAAAAGACUUUAGAGAAAUCAUUAGAAUGAAAAAAAAUUCACUCAAUACAUAAUUAAAUAUGUGUUAAAUACCUCUAGCCAGCUUCCAUGAGGAAUAUAACGAUCUUACUUAAAAGUGGUCAAAACACCUAAAAACGUGUGAUGCAUCAAAUAUUUAGUCAACUGAAAGUCUCUGUGAUAAUAAUACUACUGCACUUGUCAUUAGCUUGCCUAUGAAUAUGUGUGGAUAAGAGUUAUUAACGGCUUGUAAUUUUCAUGUCAACAUCAACCAACCAUAAGUAUAUAACUUACAAACCUACAAUCACACAUUGUAGCUAAAACUCUGCAAAUGCUAAAUUUACAACACUUGUUCUCUAGUUUACCCCUUGUACCAUUCAUGUAGUUGAGUUUUCCUCUUGGAAUAACAAAAAAAUGUCGAAUUCAAGCGAAGGCCCUCAUGGACCUAUAUAUUGUGAGAAAUUUCAAUUGCAGGUGAUCUCUACUGGCAUUUUCGCGGGUAGUAAUCCAACUCAUUCCACUUUACCCCUUCUGUUGCUGCAACUUGGUUUAGUCUCUCUAUUAGGAGGAGUCCUGCAAUUUGUAUUUAGGCCUCUCGGUGUGCCUAAACAUGUCCUUGAUAUUCUUGUAAGUUUUUUUGGUCUUUACUCCAGCCUGCAUGAAUUCGCUUAGUAUUUUGAAGUAUAUGGUCUGUGUAAAAUCUUUUCAAUAGUUCAUUGUGCAAUAUUCACUAAUAUAUGAAGUUAUAUGAAUCAGAGUGGGAUACUACUAGGUCCAUCUGGUAUUGCACGAAAUAAAAGUAUCUUCGAGACCUUAUUCGCUCCCAAAGGUGCAAUGGUGCUCGACGUCUAUGAGAUGGUGAGCACGAUACUUUUUAGUUUCUUCAUAGGCCUUAGAACUGAUGUGAAAAUCAUAAAAAGAGCAGGAGGAUUAGCACUUACCAUGGGGAUACUAUGUAGCAUUCUUCCGCAGAUAAUCAAUGCAAUCGUGCUUCGAGUUUUAACCAAAGAUAUGUCAGAUGACUCUGCUCUUAGCCAUGCAUUGACCUCUUGUGCUGGCCUCGAGGGGCUGAUUAACUUUCAUGUUGUGUAUACCACUCUUGUAGACCAGAAGUUUCUUAACACUGAGGUGGGCCGUGUAGCCCUUUCGUCUUCGAUGAUCUCGGGCUUUUGUAGUUGGAUCAUGAUUAUGGUUCGGAAGCUUUAUGAUGAUUCUGUUCGUGGUCGUAUAGCUCAGUCAAUGUUAUCACCAUUUUUCAGAGCUUUUAUGAUAGUCAUUACUGUGUAUGUGCUCCGCCCUAUUAUGUUUUGGAUGAUAAGUAGAACACCAGAAGGCAAAACCUUGAAACAAUCCUAUGUUUGUUCGAUGACACUCUUUUGUUUUGGCUUAGCCUUUUACUCCGAAAUCACUGGAAUGCACCAUGUAUUUUCAUCAAUUCUACUUGGUCUGGCUGUCCCAGAUGAUUCUCCACUACAAUCAGGGCUUGUGCACAAGCUCGAGGGAUUUGUUAACGGAGUACUUAUGCCCUCGUUUAUUAUCAAUGUUGGUAGAAAAGUCGAUAUUUAUCAACUAAAAGGGAGCUCUGUUGGAAAAGUUGAGGUUUUAGUUGCCACAAGCUUCUUGGGAAAACUUGCAUCAAGUUUAAUAGCUUCAACAUUUUGGAACAUGGCUCUAAUGGACGCCUUCUUGAUCGGUCUCCUCGUGACUUGCCAGGGCAUAUUUGAUAUCCAAUUUUUCACUAUUGCUGAGAAACUAGAAAAGGUAGCUUAGUGUUGCCUAAAUAGUUGCUACAGUUAUUUGUUUUAUGUUUUCUUUAAUUUCUUUGUAUAUUGGUGUGUGCAGAAUCUAACUAUCGAGUGCUUCACCGUAAUGGUGAUCAUGGCACUAGUUAUACCGACUAUUGUAACACCUAUAGUGGCAUACAUCUACAAUCCUUCGACAUUAUACAAAACUUCCGCAAAACGUGGUAUUCAUGCCACAAAAUACAAUCUGGAGUUCAAGAUUCUAGCCUGCAUUCAUCAAGAAGACACCGUUACAACGCUGAUCAACGUCUUGGAAGCUUCCAAUCCCACAAGAAAAAGCCCCAUUACAGCUUAUGUUCUAGACCUCGUCGAGCUUGUUGGCCAAAGCAUACCCUUAUUCAUCAGUCACAAGCUCAAGAGAAGUCCAUCUUCAAGAUCAAACAGAACUCAGCGCAUCAUUAAGGCCUUUUAUCAGUACGAGUUACAGAACCAAGAAUUUGUAACUGUUCAUUGCUUCACCUCUGUUGCACCAUUCGAGACGAUGCACAACGAUAUUUGUUUGCUGGCACUUGAAAAAGGUAAGAGCCUAAAGCUUCUAGAUAAGUCGGCAGAAUUACCAAGUCAGUUUAUAUUAAUUUCUGAAGAAUUUUAUUUCAUCAGGUACAUCAUUGAUAAUCCUUUCGCAGGGCAUGGUUACCAACUCUUCAGUAAAAGAAAUGAACAAUCAUGUCAUGGAGAAUGCGCCGUGUACAGUCGGAAUCCUAGUGGAUCGCAAGGCUCUAGGAGAGUCAAAUGCUGCAGUCUCCCCAUGGCUUUGCUUUCAUGCCUGUUUGAUCUUUAUAGGAGGUUCUGAUGAUCGUGAAGCACUCACAUACUGCAGUCGAAUGUGUGAGCAUGCCAACAUUAGCCUCACUGUCAUACACAUAACUGAACUUAUCCAAAGUCAGUUAGACUUGGAUGCCAUGGACCGGUUUAGAGAUACAAAUGUCUAUAAUAAUCGUGUAUUCUAUAAUUCUGUAACCGUGAAAGAAGGAACAGAGACAGUUCGCGCGCUUCAAACAUUGAACAAUGUCGAUUGUGAUCUUAUUGUUGUUGGCAGAAGGCAUGAUCCUGAAUCAGCUGUAAUGUCAGGGCUUGCAGAUUGGGGUGAAAAGACACCAGAUAUGGGGACUAUUGGGGAUAUCGUGGUGUCUCCAGAUAUAGAUAACAAGGCAGCUGUCAUGAUACUGCAGGCGCACAGUUUAGACCACGAAAUCGAAGUAAUUCCAACCACACCUCCACUUACCCCAAAUAAAAACUUAAAGUGUAUUACAACUGUUGAUCCUGAUAAAGAUUUGUGGCAAUUGCCUGAACUUCACUCUGAUAAAAGGUCCCCUCGAUAGUAGUUGCUAAAUCUUAUUUCUGGUUCAACUUGGAAAGCUAGUCCCCGAAGGCACUUCAAGAUGAAGAAUCCUUUCCAUGGUCUCUUUUGCAUACCAGCGCAAGAAUGUCCAUAUCCACACAAAGAGGUCAAGACUUUGUUGGCUCAUAAUAGAGGGAAAACUAUAGAAUCAGAGCUUAUGUAUCCAGUAUACCAUACAUUUAUGCAAUAAAUAUGGGAUAGCAAUAGAUGAUAGCGGCCAACAAGGCAGACCUGAGAAACCAACAAAAUUUUGCCCUUGCUGAACAAAAUCUACAAAGCUAUCCUCCAAAUCUAAAUCUACCUUACGCAUAUUGUAAUACAAUACAAUGUUCCUACUUAGUCACGAGCCUCUAGAACGGCAAGAUAAACAAGCACAAGAAUAACUUGCUACAUCUCAACUUACAAGCACAUAGUAAGCCAAGAGAAAUAGAUAAAUCAUGUCAAACACACAACCUUCUUCCUUUCUGUGGCAUUGUUUAUACAUCUUACGUGUUAUACUAGUAAGUAUACACAAUCCAGGUGCAGUAGCACUGUAGCAGUAUUAGACGAUGUGGGUAUGUUGUUACAUAAUAUACAUUACUCUUUCGGAACAAUAUCAAAUCAAAUAAAGGGCAAAAGGAUUUUCAACUGAGAUUAAUGUGUAGUAAUAGCUGUAUGGACAAGAUAUCGAUAUGCAGCUACCUUUCUUUUCCGGCCCUGUUAGAGUUAUCAACGGAGAACACCAUUUUCCCAGCUUCCUUUGUUGUAUAUGAGUUGUGAAUCGUUUCUUCUGUGACUGCCAUUUUCCUCGGUUUCUCAAUGGCAUUAGUGUUGCCGUCAGCGUGUGGCACAAAUUCAGCACUGUACUCCAACUCCCACCCUCCAACCACUAUAUCCCAUGUUAUCAUAGCACCAGCCUAGAGAUACCCGGCAAACAAAAUACUAUAGUUUAGUAAAUAAAUAUAUAUCAAGACCUUAACAUCAGAACUGCACUAAAAAUACAGUAACAACUAACAAGAUCAAUAACAUAAUUUACAUAACCUCAAGGCCUUCAAUCUGUAUGUUUACUUUCUCUCCACCGUUAAUAGUAAACUCAGAAGCUGGUUUUGGUGGAUCACUCUCUGAAUCACCCGGACGGCUUAACCUUCCAUACUGAACUGAAACCUCUUCCGGCAUAAUGUACCUAGUAUAUGAACAGAACUUUAUCACCAUACGGGAAAUAUUAUAAUUUAGAAUAUACAAAAGUGAAAAUUGCUUUACGUAGUAGACAUAGAGAUUCGAACAACAAAAUAGGUACUUUACGCGACCAAUAAAAGGUAUUUUAAUUUGAGAAACCAAUUUACUUUUAAAGUGUCUCUGUAAUAUUCCCCUCUUUACGAACAAGAAUUUGCUCUUAGUUUCCUGAGUUAGAAAUGGACUGAAUACCGAAUACAACAUACUAAAGUACCAUGGCACAUUGAUGAAAAUCUGUACACAAGUAAGCAAUUUUUCAAAAAGCAAAACUUAUAGAAUGACAAAUUAAAGACAAAAUGAAUCGACAAGAACAAGGAUACCUUACGAGCAACCAUUUCGGGGUAAUUAUCCUGAAAGAGUGACCGAACGUGGUUAGAGGUUACCCUAAGCUCUCUUUUAGGCAUGUCUUUCAGAUCAGUAACCUGAAUAAUCGAAUUUAUUCAACCAGGCUUGAAAUGCAACAACUUAACAACCAUUUCAAGAACCUGAACUCUCCAUCUCAAGAACUUCUUCAAUUUGUCAUCAUCACCAAAUAUCUUAUCAUACAUUUCCUUAUCUUUAAAAACUCCAUAUGCAUUGUAACAAACUGGAUGUCCCUCUUUAUCAUACCCACUCAUAUAAGCCACAAGCCCUUCAAGUGCUUUAAAUUCUAGAUCUUCAUCCAAAAUACAAUCAGACUUAAAAUCUUUCCUCCAAGAAAGACAUUUCAGCAACACUUGCAGAGAGUCUUGAAUUCGAAAAUCUCUAGCCCUCAGAUAUUUUAACAAAAUCACAUCAGCCUUUUCUUCUCCACCUAAAAGCUGAACACCCCACAUUGAAUCAGAGCCAUUAGGAGUUGCUUUGAGCUUUUCUUUGAGUUCUUGAAGUGAUUUUCUUUCAGAUGAUUUGAGGUGAGUUAGAUAGUAUGUGUCUUCUUUGAAAUGUGUUCUAAUUUUAGUAGUCUCUAUAAAUGAUCAAAGUUUUCUUGAAAAGAUUGGAUUUUGAUAUGGGGUUUGGUGUAUUAGUGAAAACUUAAAGAAAUUUGAUGAAACAAAUGUAAAGCUCUGAUAUUUAUAAAGAUUUAGUGGUGAAAAUAAGGUAUAUAUAGUGUGAAUAGAGUAAAGUUUCCAACUUUGAGUAAGUGAGGUUGCCAAAAAGUGUGCAUGCAAAGUCACAAAAUGGUAAUAAAUGACAGAAUGUGUGUUGUGAUGAUGCAUAAGCGUGAUUAUUGCAGAAAAAAGGGGAGGAAUAGCAAUGGAAAAACACAGGAAAUAAUUAUUUAAAAUUAGAAAAGAAAUGGAGGGAAUAUUGGGAUUUGUUAUUUGUACCCAAGCUGUUUUGGCUAGUGACAAAAUCUUCAAACCAAUCUGUUAUUUUGAACUUUAAUGUAAAACAUCUUUAAGGUAAAAAGGGAAUGUCAUACAUGCAUUACUGAAUUCAUCAUAUAAAUUUAUUUAUUUAUUAGACGUAUAGUUGUGUGAAUGAAUCGACAUGACGAUAAACGGAGUCAAAACUAUUGGUAAGUUAUUCGAGUGUGACCUGACAAAAUUAAGGUAAGUUCGUACUUGAUCGUUUUAAACCUUAUUUGAACUAGAGUUUGAAAUUGAGCUAUUUGCCCAAAAAAAUAUAAAUUUGCAAAAUUAAUGUUGUUUUAAAUUAUAUAUACAUUUUUGACAACAGUACCAGGAGUGCCUUAUUUUUUUGGGUGUCUAAAAUUUUUUUUUGCACCAUCAACUUUAAGUUGUCUACGCACUUCUGAUAAAAACUGCCAAUAAGUCUUGAAGUGUGGCCAUAUAGUUGUUAAAGUUGACAUUAGGGGCAUGAAUCAAAAACUAAUGCCUGCGCUUAGAUAUAUCACAGUUUACUUCUACUCCUAUAUAAUUUCAUUUUAAUUUCUAGAAAGAAGUUCAUAUUGAACGUUCUUUUUAAACGCUGGUAGAAGACAACGUGAUCAUGUUAAUAAUCCGGCCACAAGUGACACAGAUAUAUAGUUCUUAAAGUUCAUUCAGGUUUCAUCUUUUUCCGGGGUUCUGACUUUGGGUUCUAGACUUCACAAUAUAUUUACAGAUGAUCUCCUGUAUUGAACUCCUAGAAAGAUGAUUCCUUUUAAGUGUGAUCAGCUUUAUAACUAUACACUAUCUGCUACAUUUAGCUUCUAUUCAGUCAUCACCAGAAACAUGACAUGCCUGUGCUUCUAUUGCAUUUUAAAUGUUCUAAACUAUGCUAGAAGUUUCUUAUGUGCAUCUUAUAUGUUGUAAAAUUGACACGUUUCUCACCUGAUCACUUUUAGUGUGAAGGCGCAACAUGUCUUAGCACUUAUCUACUGUCUUCUUGGUUCUUGAAUGGUCCCUUAAAAGUGUAAAACUGGAACUAGCUAGCUUCCUAUAUUUUCGUAGUUAUUUUAUAAGUUUUUGGUGCAAUAACCAGGCAUAAGGAUCUUCAGCACCCGACAGAACACAAUGUCCAGCUUAUGGGUCUGAUAUCUUCUGAAAUCUUUACCCCGUAUUAGCAACCUGGUCAUGUGUUACUCCAACAUGCAACAGCUAGAUAGUCGUAAAAUGUAAAUACUAAUGCAUAAUUUAUAAUGUUUAAGCAAAAAUUUAGGAGUUCAGAUAAGAUUGUAGAAUGUUUCAGUGAAACAAAAAUGCAGAAUGCAAGUUUAUUAAGGUUAUUAUGGGUACAAAGGUAUGCAUUUUAUGUUAACCCUUUUAAAAGUAAAAAUCUUAUGUAUCCAUUGAAAGUCUCCCUUAUUUUUCUCUCCUUCAAUGUCACAGAAUUAAUACCAUAAAUUUAUACUAGCCCCCCUCUCAAAUUUCUGUCCUUAAAACUUUAUUAAUCAAUAGAUAAUGGCUUCCAAUUCGCAACCUGCAAAUCUCCCUCCCAUAAUCACCCAAUCCAGUGCAGCCCCGGGCGGCUCCGUAGACCCCCAACCCCCUGUUGCAAACCCUGCAGUACGUGCAUUUUUCACCAACAUUUCUGAAACAGUCCGCCAACGCCUGGCAGAUCGUCGCCCAUGGUCAGAGCUUUUUGAUCGCUCUGCAUUCUCGAAACCAGAGUCUGUUUCUGAUGCCACGGCUCGCAUUCGCAAAAACUAUGCCUAUUUCAGAGUGAAUUACCUAUCUCUCAUUGCCCUGGUAAUGGCCUUUUCCCUUGUGACGCAUCCUUACUCUCUCCUCCUCCUCCUCGGCCUCCUCACCGCAUGGCUCUUCCUCUACCUUUUCCGCCCCUCUGAUCCUCCACUUGUCAUUUUCGGACGUACUUAUUCUGAAAGAGAGACCUUAGGAGUUCUGGUGUUAAGCACAAUUGUCAUAAUUUUUCUAACAAAUGUUGGCUACGUCCUUAUAUCUGCAUUGAUGGUGGGAAUGGCUAUUGUUUCUGCGCAUGGAGCCUUUCGGGUUCCUGAAGAUCUGUUUCUUGAUGACCCUGAUUCUGCAGCAACUGGAUUCCUCUCUUUCCUAAAAGGCGCCACUGCGGCGCCACCAGCGGCUCCUGUAGUAACAGCUACUGUUCGCGUUUAGACAUUCCGCAUUGAGUAAAUCACAAUGUGAAUAUUUUAGUUUUCGGUGCUUCAGAAUUUUUCAAUUCAUCAAUUUUUUUAAGAACUAGCAUAUUAUCAUUUUUAGUACCCAUCUCAUUGUAUUUUAUAUUUGAAUCGUAGUCAGUCUGUUUUUCGGUUUAAUGAUAGAUGUUCUUAUUGGUUGUGAAUUUUCGCUAUUUGAGAUGGGAUAGAGUACUAAAUAAUGCCUGAGCGUGAUGUAUGAUCUGAAAAUCUAGAAGCAUAUCAGAAAUAUAUCUGCAGUAGUACGUUCUGUGUUUCAGAUUUUUGUCCUGCAGCUUAAAUAAUUGAAAUUAUCAUUGAUCCAUAUGAAUUUUCAGCUUGAUUGUAGAUUAGUACUUGGGUCACUUGGCACCUCCAUCCUCUUAAAGUGAUUCCCUUAGCCUCUACAUGUACAUGGCAAACGAGCUUGCAUCGGAGGAGUCAAGCCAUAUUUUUUAAAUGCCCGCUUACCUGUGAGGUGUCAUGGAAGAAGGCCCCGUAGAAGUGGAAAGAGGGCUCACAGCAUUGUGGAUGCUCUUAGAUUUGCAGCAGGACAUUAAUGAUUAUAGAUUGGCCGAAUUGCAUUGCAUUGCGUGUUACUGUUAGGAAGAUUUCUUGGAUGGUCUUGUUACAUGAAAAUCAAGAAAUCUUAUUUACUGAUGCUCUAUAUCCAUGGAUCAUUACAAAAGAAGAUAAACCAAUUAAAUGGAGUCCUGUAUCAAAGAAACUAAUAAUCUCACCAUUUCUGAAAGAUCUGGAGUUGUAAACUUAUGAUUUCAACAAUCCUGAAAGAUCAGGAGUUUCUGUUGUUGGUCUAGAUUUUGCGAACAUAAUGGUAAUGUACUGUGAAGAAAGAAUGCCUUGGACUAGGGAAGGUUAAAAUAUCAGUUUUUAAUUUGGGGAAGAAAAUACAUUUCACCUGAUGAUGCUUGUGCAGACUCAACUUCUACCUAGAUUUUGAGCACUUUUUAAUGAGUAGGCUUAUAGAUUCAUAAACUAAUAUUUAUUCUAAUAAAUCUUAAGAUAGGAUGAACGAGAAUUAAAUAUAACAGAGGAUAAACUUUUAUCACUAGGCUAUCUCAUCACGCUCACCCAAUAUUUUAUAUAAAAGUGAAAUCCGUAAUCACAACAAAAUUUUGGUUGCUUUGAUAAUUCCUGAAUGCUGAUAUCCACAUUCCAAAGUCACGAGAUCACGUAAGUUGGCUCUUAAAUUUCUAAUCUUUAGUAGUAAAAUACCAACAUGCAAAAACAUAAAUUCCCAGAUUUCAAUUUCAGUUCUAUCCGCCAUAUUUCAAAUAGAUUUUCAUAACUAUUCAUACUUGAUAAAAUUACUGAGUUAUUUUACCAUAUCCGAAAUUACCGAAAGUGAUUCAACUUCUGUUACCGAGGAUCGAUGGUUAUGUCGAAAGUAGUAUUUCCAAAUCCAAACUAGUCCAUAUAGACGUUAUUAGCAAGUAAAAGUGAAAUUAGCAGUCAAGGUUACAUGUUGCAACGUCCUCUUUGAAACUGACAAUUUGGGUCACAUAAAAACAUAAAAUACUAUGAAACUAAAAUAAAAACAAAGAAAAUGAAUGUUUUUAUCAUCACCCACCUUAAAAAGAGCCGUUAGUGUGUCCCAUGACAUGUGAGUUCAUUAAGAAUUAUUAUGAGCUGAAGAAAGUAGCCGUUAGUUUCAAACAAAGACUCAGUAAACUUAACCUAAGAUUCUCAUUUUACAUUUUCACAUGCUUUUUGUCAGUCUCCUCAACUCACCCACCUCUCCUCUUAUAUUAUCUUCACACUUUUUAUUUUGUACUAUAUUUUUGCAGUGAGCUUCUAAGUUGUAGCUUCUAAAGCUAAAACCCCUGUCAAAAAGUUGUGCAAGAUCACAUCUUUUUCUAAACCCAUCUCAGAUCACUCACUUCUUCAGUCAUUUCCAAGUUGUUGUUGGAUGGAAAUCUUGUGUCGGAAAUCGGGCUGGAGUUUUCGGGCCAAGAACAAGAAUUUGAACAUUUUUUCAUGUUGUGAUGCUAAAUUUUGGUUUGUUUUUCUUGUUUUGAUUUUGUGUUUUUGUGCUGUUUCAGGGAAAUCAUUUGAUGGGGUGAUUGUGACUCAAGGUGAUCAUCAAGCACUUAAGGCUAUCAAGCAUGAGCUAGUUGAUUUCAGAGGUGUUUUGAGGAGCUGGAAUGACAGUGGCAAUGGAGCUUGUUCAGGUAGCUGGCAAGGAAUCAAGUGUGUUAAUGGUCAAGUCAUUGCAAUUCAGCUUCCUUGGAAGGGAUUAGGAGGAAGAAUCUCCGAAAAAAUCGGGCAGCUUCAAGGGCUUCGGAGGCUUAGUCUUCAUGACAAUUUUCUUAGUGGUCCUGUGCCUAAUUCUCUUGGCUUCCUUCCAAAUCUCAGAGGGGUUUAUCUCUUUAACAAUCGGCUUUCGGGUUCAGUUCCUGCAUCAAUUGGUAACUGCCCUUAUCUUCAGAAUCUUGAUCUCAGUAAUAAUCAACUCAUUGGUACUAUUCCUCCUAGUCUUGUUAAUUCUACUAGGAUUUAUAGACUGAACUUGAGCUAUAAUGCAAUUUCAGGUUCGAUACCCAAUAGAUUCACUUAUUUUCCUUCACUCACAUUUCUUGCUCUAGAACACAACAAUCUUUCUGGUUCUAUACCUAAUACUUGGGGUUCGAAUACGAAUGAUUCUUACCAGCUUCAGUCAUUGACCCUUGACCACAAUCUCCUUUCUGGAAAUAUUCCAUCUUCUUUAAGUAGAUUGAAUAAUCUCCAAGAACUUAGUUUGAAUCAUAACCAGAUUGUUGGAACCAUACCUAGUGAACUAGGGAGCCUCUCCAAGCUUCAAAUGCUAGAUUUAUCGAACAAUGCAAUCAAUGGAAGCCUUCCUGCUAGUUUUUCCAAUCUCACUUCUCUUGUGUCACUAAAUCUAAAGGCCAACCACCUUAAAAAUGAAAUCCCAGAAGCCCUGUUUAAAUUGCAUAAUCUUACUGUCCUAAAUCUGAAGAACAAUGAGUUUGGCGGUCCAAUUCCAGCCAGUAUUGGAAAUCUAUCUAGCAUUUCUGAACUUGAUUUAUCUGAUAACAUUUUUGGUGGAGAAAUUCCCAACUCAAUAGCUGAUUUGCCAAAGCUGGUUUCUUUCGAUGUUUCAAACAAUAAUUUGUCUGGGGAAGUUCCUUCUAAGCUUCUAGACAAGUUUAAUUCAAGUUCUUUUGUUGGUAACAUCCUGUUGUGUGGAUUUAGCCCCUCAACACAAUGCCCUUCUCCCCCACCUCAACAGCAAUCACCACCGCCAUCUUCAUCACAGGCUUCAAACCAUCGAAAAAGCAAAGGACAUAAAACCAAAGAUAUCAUUCUUAUAGCUGCUGGUGCUCUACUACUUGUCCUACUUGUUUUGUGCUGCAUAUUGUUAUGUUGUUUAAUCAGGAGAAAGAGUAAAGCGAAAGCGACUAAAUCAGCUGGCCCAGCUGGUAUAAAAUCAGUUCCAGCCGUGGGAACUGAUGUUGAAUCCGGUGACACUGGAGGGAAACUAGUCCAUUUUGAUGGCCCAUUUGUGUUUACUGCCGAUGAUUUGCUAUGUGCAACUGCUGAGAUAAUGGGAAAGAGCACUUAUGGAACUGCUUAUAAGGCGACAUUAGAGGAUGGCAAUCAAGUAGCGGUGAAAAGGCUAAGAGAGAAAAUAGCCAAAGGACAGAAGGAAUUUGAAGCUGAAGUUGUCACACUUGGAAAAAUUAGACACCAAAACAUACUGGCUCUUAGGGCUUAUUAUAUGGGACCUAAAGGAGAGAAGCUUCUUGUUUUCGAUUACAUGUGUAAUGGGAGUCUUGCAUCCUUCCUCCACGGUUAGUAUUCUAUUUACUCCUUUACGACUUCAGUCCUUGUUAUGUUUCUAUUAUUCAGAAUUACUGUGAUCUUAUAUUUUACCAAAUGUUUGAUACAAAUGUGUCAUGGUGCAGCUCGAGGUCCUGAAACCGCAAUCCCCUGGCCAACAAGGAUGAAAAUUGCAAUGGGAAUAACAAAGGGCCUAUGUUUCCUCCACUCCAAAGAAAACAUAAUUCAUGGGAAUCUCACAUCAAGCAACAUAUUGCUGGACGAGCAAAACAAUCCUGCCAUCGCAGAUGUUGGCCUUUCAAGGCUCAUGACAGCUGCUGCCAACACCAAUGUAAUUGCCACAGCAGGUACACAAGGUUACUGCGCACCUGAGCUCUCAAAGCUGAAGAAUGCCAGCACAAAAACCGACGUCUACAGCCUCGGGGUGAUCAUCUUGGAGCUCUUAACAGGAAAAUCACCUAGUGAAGGCACAGACGGUGUUGAUUUACCACAAUGGGUUGCAUCCAUUGUGAAGGAAGAAUGGACUAAUGAAGUUUUCGAUUUGGAACUUAUGGGGGAUGCCUCAAACACAAAUGUGAGCGACGAGCUUCUCAACACUCUGAAAUUAGCCCUUCACUGUGUUGAUCCUUCACCAGCUGCACGUCCAGAAGCCCAAGAAGUUCUCCAGAAACUCGAAGAAAUUAAACCAGAACUGGCAGCAGCUCCAAGCACAACUACUACAACUGAUGAAGGUCCUGAAAUUCCAACAAAAACUGAAUGAAGAACAAACAAUGCAGAUCACAUACAAAUACAGCACAAUACUUGUAAAAUAUAUAUAGAAAUACAGAUCACAUUAGUCCCUUGCAUAGUUACAUAUACAUGUAUAUAGUAGUGAUCUGAGCAAGUUACAUUUCAUUUCUUCAAUUCUUUAGCAGAUGCUUUACAUAUUAUUGUUCAAUUCAUUAUGGUGUGAUAUCAGAAUAAAAAUACAUUCUUUUCUUUCAAAUGUUGGUUCAAGAUUAUCAGAUAGUUGCAAAGAAUUUUCCUUUCAUGUAAUCUAAAUUAUACUUUUUUGACUUUGUAAAUUGUAAUCAAUAAAUUUGUAAUUUUAUCUCGAUAAAAUCUAUUCAACUCGAUCCAAAUUUGUUAAACCUAACCCAAUUAGAACUAAACCAGUAGAGAAGAGCAAAGACAAAGUAUUGUAUUGAAUGAAUUGUGACUUGAAUUGUGAGUUACAUGUUCAUGGUUUAUAAGAUCGGUUAAGAGGAAUAAGAACCUCAAAUCUAUGUGUUGGUAUUUGAAUUGACAAUUUUAUAAUAAGGAAUGAGAACCUCAAUUCCACUAGGAGGUGAAUCAUUCCUUAUACUCGGAUACUCAUUCUCAUACUCUUCAUUCCAAUUUCCUUCAUUCCCAUUUUCGAUUCCAAUUCUCACUCAUGAUUGAAAAAACCUCGUAAUAUGUGAAUGUCUAUUAUUAGAGGCGAGUAUUCGGUCAGUUCGAUCUUAUAUAAUAUGUAUUAGUUGUGAAUAUUCGGUUGGUUCGGUCCAAAACCGGACCAAAUGGACCGAAAAUUGAAAUUUCAUUUUUUUCCUGGACCGAAAUUUUAUAAUGGACUGAAUUCAAAUAAUUCAGUUCGGUCCGUUCCCGACCAAAAGAAUCGAAUGUUUUAUAAAAAAAACGUAUAUUAUAAUUAAAACUAAAAUUAAUGAUUCAUUAAAAAAUAAUAUUAAAAAAUCACAGUACUUCAUCAAAGAUAAAUAUAAUUAAAUUUACAAAUUAGAUAUUAUAAUUAUAGAUUAUAAGAUAUACAUAUAUAAAUUUAAAUUUAAAUUUAUAUUAUAUAAUGUUGACUAUUCGAACUAGACCGUAAUAUUUUUUUUUUAAAAUUGAAAUGAGCUAAAAUUAAACCGAAUUUUUAAGAAAUUAGGACUCAACAGAACCGAAUUCACACACGAUGCCGCCGUUCGAUUUUGCUCACCUUGUAUAUACAUAAUCUAACCAACUUCCAAAUGAGAGAUUUACUUGCACACUUGGAAUAUAAAAAAUAUACAGAAUAAUUAAUCAUCUAUGUAAUGUCAAGUGUCAACAAAAUUCGAGUCUAAUCCUCUCCAAAACGAGAUCUCACAAACACAUUAAACCCGACUUUUUUUUUUUUGAUUAACAUUAAACCCGACUUAUUUCACAAGAAUAGUUCAUGUCCAAAUUCGAUAAAUUAUAACUCCAUUCGAUCUGAUUUUAUUUAAUAACCUGAACUUUAAAAAUCGAGUAGCAUGUUGGCUAUUUUAAUAUAAGGGUUAUGUUUAGAUUAUUUCAGAUUAUGAUUCAUGAGUGUAUUUGUGAUUUUGUGAUUUUUUUUUUUUUGUCAUAAGACUUUCACGUCAGUGAAUUGUACCGAAAUACAAUACCGAAAAAAUCGAAAAAGCUUUUUUCAUACAUAAAAACUUUCAUCUAACCAAAGGGCAUGUCAAAAAACCCCACAAAAAACUAGAUAAAAAUUUAUGAUGCCUGAAAAAAAACAAUAUCCGCGGAACUAUGAAGAAAGGAGAACUUUCAUUCAAAAAAGUAUAUCGACUAACCGAAGGUCAUGCACAGAUGACUCCGAAAAUUUAGCCAAUAAAACUUUAAUGACCGAGAAGAAAACCCAGAAGAAGAACAAAAAUCCGCGGAAAGGAAUAAAAUAAGGUGUAGAGGAAAAAAGGAGGAAGAAAGAAAGAAACAAGUAUGAAAGAUUAUGCUAGGCACCAAAACAAAAUCAUCUAAAAUGACACAAUCGUUAAAAUAAUGACAACCAAAAUCGCAAUAUACGAUCAAGAAGCCAUCAACCAUGACUAUCCCUCAAAAGGAACACAAAAAUUCAAACUAAAGAUACAACAUGUCCAAAACACAAUUUACGAUACAAAGUCUUAUAAAUCUAGCAAUAAACGAGACACAAAAUUCAAUUACGAAAAUAUAACCAAUAACAAAGGACAUGAGACAAAUACAUUUAAAAACAGUAAGAACAAAGAUUUUGAACUCAUACCAUUGUCGUGGGGUCAAUUCACACGAUCCUUACCUUACCGAAUAUAAAUAUAUGUAGAUACUGGAAAUGGCUAAAACUAAAUCGCAGUCGCUAACUCGUCAUUGACUCAUCCCAAUUGAUACAUCACCAAAUCAAAAUCUUGAAAAUCGAGUAGAUCUAAUUUCCAAGUACAGAUCCGUUGGGGAGUAUUAUUGAGAAAAUAAGAACAAAUCAAAAGAAAUUAACUGAUUCGGAGUUUUUCAUCGGAGAAAAUCGAUGAAACCUCCGACGGUGGCUAGAUAGGAAGAGAGAGUUUGAGAAAAUCGAUGAAACCUCCGACGGUGACUGAGAUGUUGUGACUUUGAUUAGUUUGAAACUUGUUAAAUACUGUCCGUGCUAAUAUGAUCAUGCUUGGCUGCCAUCAAUUGUAUGUGUAUAAAUUACUUUCCUUAUUAAUACUGUGCUUAAUUGAUGCUUUAGGCCGAAUUACAAACUGAAAUUUUGUUAUAUAUAUAGUUGAAUGCUUGACAUGGCUGUAUUAAAAUUUCUACAUGAUCCUAUCCAAUUGGCCACAGAAUCUAUAGUAUAUGCUAUGUCAAUAUGAAUUUUGCUUUGGAUACAUUAAAAGAUGGCUCUGACAAAAAAAAAAAGAUGGCUCUGAUUUGUUAGGUGAUUACAAUUGAUAAGAGUUGAUAAUUAUUUAUUAUGUGCAAAAGAUUGAUAUGUGAAUUCUUGCAAAAUUAGUGAUGAGAGUCAUGAAUUUGGUAAAAUUCCAUGAUUCCUAAUGUUAUGAGCUGCCCUAUGGAAUCUGUUAUGUAGUUAAGUGUGUUAGUCUCAAUUAGACGUAGAAGGGGGUUUGAAAUGAAUGUUCAUCUCAUUUCAAUUGCGGAAUACUUCUGUUUAGUUAGUCUAUCAAUCAUAAUAAAAUAACUCCAACAAGUUCGGGGAUAUUCUUGUAUUUGAAAUAAUACUUGGGUGCUACAAAUCCAACACAAGGUCGGCUAAAGAGACUACUGAUCAUACUUCACACAAACGCUCGUCCAUUUUCUAUGUUCGUACUUAGGAGUAUGUGUAGAGACUAGAGAGUGUGUGCACUUUACAAGUGGAUAGUUAUUUUCAAAUGAAAACACAAAGCCCUGUUUAUAGACUUCAACAUUAACCAUGACUAGCUGAGUGAUCCCGGUUCUGCGAGAAUGAUCCCGGUUCUGCGAGAACGAUCACGGUUCUGUCUCAGUGAUCUAGGUUCCCUUGGAGUGAUCUUGGUUCUGUAAUUUAACGAAGUAUGGUUACGAGAUGGACUUAUAAGUAUUUUUUGAAAAAUUGUUUGGUGACCCUUAAGAUUCGAAUCCUAGAUAUGCGUCCACCCCUCUAUGUGCCAAGUGAAGAAUUUUUGUGCCAAAUAUAUGAUUGCAACAAUGCUAUUCAAAUCUUUUAUUCACAUGAGAUGGGUUGUAUGAGGUUCAAAUAUUAUUCGAGUUUUUGGAGUCUACAACUAUUAUUAUUAGAUUACAUUAUGAUCAUGUGGAUAUGGAUUAAAGCAGAACAAUUUAUUUUAGUAUUAAAAGAAUAUUUUUGUAUGCCGCAUACAUAUAAGUAAAUACAUAUAUAAAGACUUUAUAACAAUAUAUUAAAUAACUACACAUCCCUAGCAUACAUCUAUGAAACCUCGUUAUUCGGUUUGUAAGUCCUAUCUAUUUAGCAUCAUUUUUUUUUGUUUUUUAUUAGAGUAGUUUUUGAAAUUUAAAACUUUGGAAUAUACUAGUUGGAGAGGGACGAUGAAAGAUAUUUGGAGGACUUGCAAGAUAAUUCAUUUAUAUCGUGUCCUUCAACUUGCGUUUUUAAAGAUAUUUGUAAAGCAUAAUGUAACAUAAUGUAAUAGCGAUAAGUCAACACUAUAAUAGAAUAGGAAACAAUAUAUAAGUAUGAUACAUGAAUCAACAGGUUGGAGAUCCGAUACGAGCAGACAAAGACAAUCAAGAUAUCUGAGAUGAACAUACGUCCACUGAAAGAAGUUCAUUAAUAUGUUCAAGCCUUGGUGAAGAAUAAAGUUCAAGUAGUUUCUGCUAUCGAAGAUUUCCUGACAAUCAAGUUUCAAGAACCAGAAGACCCCAGUAUAUCUAUUCUGAUUAUUCAUAAUUAGUUUUUACCGAAACAACAUCAAACCCGGAUUAACUGAUCAAGUAUUUCAUCAAGUCAAAAAUACGAAGAAUCGCUUUUGUAUUAGUCGUUCGUGAACCAGACCAGUGCACAGGCUGUCAGUACGUACGGAGUUGUUCGACGCGUUUAAUAAACGGAUAAUUGAUCAAGUCACAAUUGAGUUGUUCCCGAGUCAAAGAAAAGUCAAGCCUUUUAAUGGAAGCCAAAUCAAAAAGCGGCGCCAAAUAAUUAAAUUCAAAUAAUACUACCUAUAUGUAUAUUGGUUGUUGGCGCCACUUGAAUUAAUCCUAAAAGAAUUCAAGUGUGUGCUAAUAGUUUAAUACAUAUGUAUAUAUGUAUAUAAUGCUAAGUGGCGCCACUUAGCUUGAUGGUGUGAAGAGUGAUAACAAGGCACAUAGGAGACACAUGCACCACUUGGAGUUAAAUUAUUUUCACUCUAAGUAAAGAAGUGAAGUGGCGCCAGUCACUCCGUGUGAGGCGCCACUUUAAAUCAAUUCAGAUCAAAGGAGUGAUAUCAAGGGGGACCAAGGCUUCAUGGCACCACUUGUGAAGGUGCAUGGAGUAUUGGAUGAGUGAGGGAGUGGCGCCACUGUGUACCACUGUGAGGCGCCACUUGGGUUUUAAAAGUGAUUUUCUCUGAGGCAAAACAUCCUUUUCUUCCAAGAGUCUCGGAGGCGCCACUUAGAAAUACAAAUGGCUAACACUUGCGCCAUUGAAGUCUUAAACCAUCCUUAGUUAAGCAUUACAGAACCUGGAUCACUUGGAUCAUUUGAUCGGCCUUGGUUAAAUUAGAGAACCUGGACCACUUGGACAAAUUAACCACACAUGGUUAAUCUACGGAACCAGGAUCACUACUCAGAACUGGGAUCACUCAGCUAACCAUGGUUAGAUGUUGAAGCCUAUAAAUAGAGCCUUGUGUUUUCAUUUCAAAAUAACUACACACUUUGUAAAGUGCACACACUAUGCACAUACAAGAGCGAUGAUAGAAUAUCCGUUAUUAAUUACGAGCGUUUGUGUGAAGUGUGAUUUGUAGUCUCUGUAGCUGAAAUUUCUGUUGAAAUUUGUAGCACACGAGGUUUAUUUCUAAUACAAGAAUAUUCCCCGAACUUGUUGGAGUUGUUUCACGAUUGACAUACGAACUGAACAGAACUAUUCAACAAUCGAUUUAAAAUGACGAAUUGGUAUAAGACGUAUUCAACCCCCCUCCCUUCGACGUCUAAUUGGACCUGACAAUAUGUAUCAAACGUUAAGCAUGCAAUUCAUAGUUCAUUUUCAUAUAUAAAGUUUUUGUGUUUAUAAAUUUACUUUUUUUUCAAAUGUGCCUCAAUUUUUUAUCUUGUAAAGUUUGGUAAUUGUGUCUAUAACUUUAGUGAUUUUGCAUUAAUUAAUGCUUAGUUAGUUAAUUGUGUAUAAAAAAAUACAUUAUCGUAUACAAGUACAUGGAUUGUAUAUAUAAAGUAAAUAAUAAACAAAUAUCAGAGUAUGAGGAUAGUUUUGUGAUAAUAAAAAGAAUGGUGAAAAUCAUUAACUCCAAUACUCCACCAAAAGUGUGAAUUUCGUAUAACUUGAUGGAUAUACAUUUUUGUUAUAAAAGUACGCUUUAUCUUAUGGUCCAUUUUAGUUUCAUGAGUUAUAAGUCAUUUAAAUCUAUCGGAAAUUUCCACACCUCCGAAUAUCUAAUACCAAAUCUCGUCUGUAUUCUUAUUUUUUAAUAAUAAACCUGGCUAUUUUUAUGAUAUUUAUUUUAUGACCUCGUUCGUUAGCUAGUUCGAGAUUCCAAGUAAUUAAUCUAAAAUUUGAUGAAUUAUUAAUCUAAUUUUUUUAAUUUUUGAACAAAAUGGGUCAAUAUGUAUAUUACUACUAACUGAAUGAUAAUGCAGUGGGCAUAACAUUUUCAGUUAUGGCCUUGUUUAGAAGUUAGAAGUUUGGAAAAAAAAUAAAAGUUUGGGCCGUGACCAAGAGAAUCUUUUAAUUUUUGAAUUUGGCAGUUAACGGAUGAAACAGCUGUUUUCUCUCAGAAAAUUAAUUUUCAAAAAAUUAUUUUGUGGAGAUUUCCGGUUUGAGAUAUGUGGAUAUCUAUGAUGCAAAAAACUAAUUAAUCAGCCAUGUUCCAAACAAUUUUAUACAAAACAUUUACUAUGAUCGGCGAGUCAGGAGAGGUGAUUCUAAUCGCAAACCGCUGAUUGCCAAAUAGGUACCGUAUAUUUUUCACCAACCGUUAUUUGUCUACAUAUUUUAUCAUUAAACUAUAGUAAUACAGAAUUACAAAAUAGGGCCCACGAAUUACUGCGGCCUCCAAAUACCUUUACAACUUACCACCCAACUGCUCUAUAUAUACCUUCUCAAACUAGAGAUUAACCCUCCAUAAGAUUUCACUCAAUUUUCAGAGAAAAUUACUGAGAGAGAGAGAGAGAGAGAGCAUUAUUUAUCAAGCAGUAAUGGCUUCUGAGAAUCCAGAUGACAGGUGAAUUUCUUUCUAUUAUUCUUCAAAUUUUCUUCUCAUUUGUGAAAAAACCCCGUCAAGAGUAUUUAUGUAUCUCCUUUUCAUACACAUCAAUUUCAAAUUUUACUCUGCAUCUUCUUCUUAAUUCUUAUGUUGGAUGACAUGUGAGGAAACAUGUUCAUUCUUACCUGCAUUUGUGUUUCUGUUGUACUGAUGAUUUUACAUUAUUUGAUAUUGUAAAAUGCCUAGUUUGACAAAAUUUGAAUAUACCAAUGACAUUCGCAAAAAUACAUGAUUAGAUUGAGUAAUCAAGAUAUGUAUAUUUUUCAAUAACCAAGAUGAUAUUGGAAGUUUUAUUAUGAUUGAAGAAUGUACAUCUAUGCUUAUGUGUGUGGAAAUAAUCGAUUUAAGAAUUCUUAUACUUAUGGCAUUAUUUUUUUCAACUAAGAUGAGAAUGUGCAUUAAUUAGAUAAGAUGAAUUAAUAAAUUUUAUAAUCUUUUUUUAAUUUCUUGGAGCAGAAAGGAGUUUGAUCCCUUAGUAUACGGGUCGAAAAUGCCUCACAAAUUAUAUAAAGGUGUUUACGAAAAAAAAGGUAAAGAGAAGUGGUAUGCACAAUGUUCACAUGGAGGAGAGAAUGCAUACAUUGGUACUUAUAACACAGAGCUUGAGGCAGCUCUGGCUUAUGAUAAGAGAGGUAGAGAGCUGAAACGUCCCGAAGAAAAACUUAAUUUCCCGAAAUUUCUUACUGAACAUAAUCCACCAGCAGCUACCGAGCCGGCAUUGCCCAUAACAAAUGCAUUGUCCAGUAGUGUACAGGUCAAUGUACCUUCAGGCAGCUCAAGUUCUAAUGCUGGAAGAGGAGAAAAAAGAAAGCAAAUUACUAUCUCUAAAGAAGAAUAUGAUGCGUACCUUCCAUAUCAUGAAGCUAGGAAAAUAGAAUUCGCUCAACGUGGACGGAAUGUCUCGGUCAGUGGUGUAGCCAUCAGGUCUCAGUCUGCAAAUAUUUCGAGUGCUAUAAUGGAAUUGAUUGGAAACCCUGGAGAGUUCAAAGAUGUGCCAGAUGAAGAGUUAUUAAGCGACGCUGAAAAAGAAUUCGUGGAGAGCUUACUCAACCAGGGCACCUCGUCAGACGACGGCAAGCUCUCUUAGUUGGCACAACAAGCUAGAGCUUCCAGUUGAUUAAUAGUGAAGUUUGGCGUUUCAACAUUAAUAGAUUACUUUUUCAUGUUCCCCCAGGGAUAUCCAAUUAAACAAAAGGUUAACAGUCAUUUUUGCUUACUGUUCUUACAAACUAGGAGUUUUGUUCAUGAGGCGAUAUGUUUUUCUUGUGGUAGUACUGUUUGUUUCUCAACAAGAAAUUUAGACAUGUAAAUGAAGGUCAAAUUACUCCAUUACAGAUAUGCGACAAUCUUUGUUGGUUAAUCGAAAUAGAAGUAUCAAGAACGAAUGAAUUCAUUGCACCACUCUUUUUUCAACUUUCUCGAAUAUAUGAUGAGUAAUGUACAACUUAUUUCCAUGACCACCGUCCACCUAAUAUCUUUACAAAAUAUAUAGUUUAUUAAUUUUGAACUUAAUAUCUCGGUUUUUUACCACCAAACAUAUUUUCAAUCUAUUACAGCCCAACUGAAUUUUGAACUUAAUAAUAUUUAAGGAUUAGACAGGUUAUAUAUUACAACAAGUUCAGUUCGCGUUUGAUUUUUAAUAUUUAAAUAGAGAUUCAUAUGAAAAUACAUGGCCAUCUAAUAUAUACAAAUAUUUAUACCUUUUAUAAAAAAGUGAAACCUGAAAAGAAAUACUAUACGAGAGUACCAAAACUCGGUGGUCAUCAUAUAAUUUUUUUCAUUUAAUAAUUAUAAUUAUUAUAUUAUUAUGAAAAAACUUUCAUAUUGAUUACGAUUAACUAAUAGAAUAAAUAUAUAAUAUGUAAUUUAAGUUUGGUCAAACUGUAAUUUGUGGACUUUGAAAUUUUAAUUAUGUAAUAUGUAACGCAAAAUUGUAGAAGGUUAACUUCAACGUGAAGCCGUUAACCGAAUUUGUAAAGUACUGGCGAACUCUUUAGCAAAACCAUUUCAAUUUUUUGUUUUCUAAAGGUUUAGUUUUCAUGAAUUAACAUAAGUUUUUAAUUCAUUAUAUUUUUAAAUUUGAUAGUUACGUGAUCCAAUUAAAAUUAUUUAAAAUUAUAAAUUUAAAUAUAAUUAAAAUUUGUCAAACAUUCAUUUAAAUAAAUAGGAUCAAAUACAAACUAAUCAUUUGUUAUAUUUCUUUAUUAGCAACAUACUAGUUUAUAACCCGUUUCAUGGAAGAGUGAUUUAUAAGAAUUAUUAUUUUAUUAUAUAUAUUUUAUAUUAAAUUUAUUUUCAAGAUAAAAUUAUGUUGAAAUAAUAGGCAUUUUUUAAUUAAUAUAGAAUUUAAAUAAUUAAAAAUAAGUUCCUAAGAUUGACUAAUUAAAAUUUUGUCCAAAUAGAUAUGUUUCAGUUAGAAUGUUUUAAUACAUUUUAAUUAAAAUAAAAAGCCUUAUCAAAACAUGUUAUAGAUUAUAGAGGCACAUAGACCAAAUUAACGACCAAUAAUACAUCAAUAAUUUUUAAUAUUUUAAUUUUAAUUGUAUAGUAUAAAUGAAAAGGUUAAAUAUAUCUUAAUUUAAAUAAGAAAAACGUAUUAAAAUAUGUGUUAUAGAUUCUAACAUUCUAAUAUUAGAUAACCAAAUAUCUCAGAAUUCAUCAGAGAAAAUAAAUUCUAAUAUUUUAUAUGUUUAUAAUUAUAUUUCAUAAAUUUAAGAGGAAACUAAAUAAUUCAAAAUAAAAUAAUGCAAAUAGUUACCUUUCAUUUUGUUCACUAUACUUGAACUUAAUAUCUCUAAUAAUAGUUUAGAUUUCAAAAUAUAUUUCUAAUAAAUAAGAAUUGGUAUUUUUCCAGAAUUACACUUUUAAAUAAUAGUUUUAUUUAAAAAAUAAAAUUAUUAUGAAAGAAUAAGAAAGUAUAAGGAAAAAUUUUAAGAAAAUAUAAUUUUAAAAUUUAUUUUAAUCGAUACUCAUAUUAUCAAAAAGAUAUAAAAAUAUAGGAUUUUCGAAUAAUUUUAUCUGAAUUAAUUUAUUAUUACAAGCAUUAAGAAUAAUCAAAAUUAGAAUGUUGUAAUUUAAAUAAAUUUAUAUAGAUAUGAUUAAAAUUAGGAGAAAAUACCCUAAAUAAUAUACUUUUCAAAUGUAACUACCUCAAAUAUAAAUUUUCAUCUUAUGUGUCUAAAAUACCCACUUUGGAACACGCAUAUUUAGUAUGCGUAUACUUAAGUUAAACAUAACGACCCAUACGUUGCAUUCACUUUGUUCUUGAGGAAGCAUGAUACUUGGUCUGGGUUUUCUUUCAUAUUGCUCGUGCGCUUUAUUUUUGGAUAUAUAGGACCACACAUCCAUUAUAUGAACAUGAAUUUAAUUGUCAUGAUAUGCCUAACUAUAUAAAUAUAAAUUACAAUUACAUGUUAUUUAAAACUAGCUUAUAACCCGUGCAAUGCACGGGCGGUUAUAAUAUUUUUUAUUUUUCGGCCCAAGUACCGAUCGACUGACCGACCGACCAAAUUUCAAUGUUUCAGCUUUAAUAAUUUAAUAGAUAAUAAAAAAAAUAUUAUAACAUAUUAUGAAUUUAAAUACCAACCGGAUCAUCAAACUCGAGAGACCGAUCGACCGACCAAUUGAACUUUUUUUGUUUCAGCUUUAAUAAUUUAAUAGAUAAUAAAAAAAAUAUUAUAACAUAUUAUGAAUUUAAAUACCAACCGGAUCAUCAAACUCGAGAGACCGAUCGACCGACCAAUUGAACUUUUUUUGUUUCAGCUUUAAUAAUAUGAUAAUAUAGUAUAUCAUGAAUUGAUAAAUUACUUUUUAAAGUGAGAUCAUCAGAGAAUUUAAAAAUGAUGUUGAUGUAUUUUGGUUGAAAAAUAUCACCGGUUAUUUAUUAAUAAUAUAUAUAUAAUAACAUUAUAUUUUUAUAUAUAUGUUGCCCGUGUUAAUUAGAAGAUAGGUUUUUUUAGUUAGGAAAUCUAAAAAAGAUAAUAUGUUUUAAUUAAACUACUAUAUUGUUCCAUGUUAUUCUAGAAGAUUGAGAUUUUUUAGUUAGAAAAUAUAAAAAGAUGAUAUAUUUUAGUUAAAAGGAUAAUUGAUUAUAUAGAUAGGCCCAUAUUUCGGCCCAAGUACCGACCGACUAAACUUUCAAUGUUUCGGCUUUAAUAGUAUAAUAAUAUAGAUAUAGUAUUUUUUUAAGGUUUGACUUUAGUUUUGGUAUAGUCAAAUAGAUUUUAUAUUUGUUUUAUGUUUUGAUCGUAUAUUUGUUUUAUGUUUUGAUUUGUUUAUAUUUUAUUUGAACCCACUAAUUUUGUUUGAAGCCCGUUAAUUUUGUUUGAAGCCCGUUAAUUAUAAAAGUCCGUAUAAAAGCCCGCGUACCGACUGACCAAACUUUUAAUGUUUCGGCUUUCAUAGUAUAGUAUAGAAGUAUGGGUUUUUUAGUUAAAAAUUUGAAAAAGAUAACGUGUUUUAGUUAAAAAAGAUGAUUGCUAUGUUGUCCAAUGUUAUUUUUAAAAUUUUAAAUUUUUUAGUUAAAAAAUAUAUAAAAAAUAAUAGUUUUGGUAAUUGAUUAUAUAAAAAGCUCAUAAUUUGGGCCAAGUAUCGGCGGACAAAACUUUUAGUAAUUGAUUAUAUAAAAAGCCCAUAAAGCCCAAGUACCGACCGACCAAACUUUUAAUCUUUCGGCUUUAAUAGUAUAGUAUAGAUACAUUGCCUUAUCUCUAAAUCAUUAUUAAAAAUCAUAAUGAUCACUAACUACUACUUACUCACAAUAAUAAUCAAUUAAUAUAUUUAUGCACUUUGUUAUGUACGCAAACCCAACCUACAAAACAUAUGGUUCUCAAUUAAUUUUAAUAAUACAAUAUUAGAAAAUACAAGAUUUUGUUUCAGUACAUAUAUAUAACAAAACACGAGAUUCUGCUUCAGUACAUAUCUAGCUCAUAUAAUAUUACAAAACACGAGAUUCCGUUAUUGUACAUAUAUUGCUCAUAUAAUAUUACAAAACACGAAAUUCUAUUGCAGUACAUAUCUAGCUCAUAUAAUAUUACAAAACACGAGAUUCUGUUGCUGUACAUAUAAAUAAGGGCUUUUUUUAUUCAUAACCACGUUUUCAAUUUUAUUUCCAAAAAUACUACCUUAUCCAAUCUUAUUUUCAAAAAUAUUACCUUCUCUAAAAUAUUUUCAAAAAUACUGUGGUUGCAUAUGCAACCAUAUAUGCAACUACAAAUCCUGAUUUCAAAUGUCAUUUUCGACCUCAUAUUUGGAAUCGAUAUAUAUAUAUUGAUUCCAACGAUGAGGUCGAAAAUGACAUUUGAAAACUGGAACUUGAAAUCAGGAAUUCAGUUGCAUAUAUGGUUGCAUAUGAGGUUGUAUUCAGUUGAUUCUAUUGUAAUCUAAUGGCCCCGCCAGGGGCACCCAUACACCCAUACAUCAGUUGCAACUUACAGUUUUCCGUUGCAUAUGAGAUUGCAUAUGAGGUUGCACGCAACCUCAUAUGCAACCUCAUAUGCAACUAAAUGCAACUGAAAACUGUAAGUUCCAACUGAAGUAUGGGUGCCCCUGGCGGGGCCAUUAGAUUGCAAUAGAAUCAACUGAAUGCAACCUCAUAUGCAACUAAAUGCAACCUCAUAUGCAACUAAAUGCAACUGAAAACUGUAAGUUCCAACUGAAGUAUGGGUGCCCCUGGCGGGGCCAUUAGAUUGCAAUAGAAUCAACUGAAUGCAACCUCAUAUGCAACUAAAUGCAACCUCAUAUGCAACUAAAUGCAACUGAAAACUGUAAGUUCCAACUGAAGUAUGGGUGCCCCUGGCGGGGCCAUUAGAUUGCAAUAGAAUCAACUGAAUGCAACCUCAUAUGCAACUAAAUGCAACCUCAUAUGCAACUAAAUGCAACUGAAAACUGUAAGUUGCAACGGAUGUAUGGUGUGCCCCUGGCGGGGCCAUUAGAUUGCAAUAGAAUCAACUGAAUGCAACCAUAUGCAACUGAAUACAACCAUAUGCAAUUAUAUAUGCAACUGAAUUCCUGAUUUCGAGUUCCAGUUUUCAAAUGUCAUUUUCGAUCUCAUAUUUGGAAUCCAUAUAUAUAUUUUGACCUUAGAGCAGUUUUUAUUUUGAUCUUUUAUAGUCACAACAAUCUUCACCAUCGAAGAAAGGAGUUAGAGAUGAUUGAGAGUUUGAAUUUGAAGCCAUGUAAUCACUUCUUGUUUCAUCCCAGAUUGGAAUCGAAAACUGCUCCUCUAAGAAAAAGAACAGAUGGAAUAACUUUUUGUAUUUCUAGAUAUGAUUGCUCUAAUUGAAUUGUAUUACAUAUGAUGUAGAAUAUGCUUUUAUUGCUUUAUAUAGUUUCUACCGAACAUUCAGAGAGUUAAUGCAAAGAACCUCUAAAUGAACUUGUAAUGCAUGAAUAUAUAAUAAAUAGAUACCGAGAAUGUGAAAAUAAAUAUGAACGUGCAUGAAUUCCAACAUUUAUAUUUUUAUUGUUCGCCCGCGUAUAGUUGCUCAGGGGGUUAGGCUUUAGGGUGGAGGGAGGGAGCUUAAACAAUCAAGAAUCUGAAAAUCUUUGUUGCACUUGAAGUUUUAACAGCUUUGUUUAGAAAACAGUAAUGGAUUCUGAGAAUCUAGAUGACUAGUGAGUUCCUUUUACUCUUCUUCAUAGUCUCCUCUCAUCAGUAAUUGUGCACAUGUCAAGAUAGCCUGCAUUUUUAUGUAUUAUUUGUCUGCAUGUUAUGCAGAUUCUUUAUGCAUAUAUGAAAUGGUAGCAGAUUUCUUGAUAAAAAUAAUCUCUUACGUAAACAAUUAGCAAGAUUUUUGCAAGAUACAUAGAUUGAUAGAUCAAGGGUACUGAUAAUUAGAGGGAUUGAUAGAUGGCCCGGGCUAAUUCUGAUAACAUGAAUGUUUCUUGAUUUCAAUGAAGAUGCAUGAUAAACCAUAUUUUCAGAUAGCCCAGAAAGCUUUCGAAGCUAAUUGUCAUGUGUGUUUGUGUGUAUAUGAGAAACAACAAGAUUUCUUUUACAGCUGACAAAUGAAGGUUGUUUGUUGGAGAUCAUUACCAAUUGGGUGCUCGAGGAAAUUUCUUGGUACGAGAUUACAAAGAUUAAACAGAAAAUCUAUUUUGUAUCUGUUCUUUUUAUUGUGUGUUUAACUUUGUUAUAUUGCAUCUCAAGGAGAAAUUUAGAAUAGUAAAUGAAAAAUUUAUGCAUACAGUUCCUGACAGUCUUUGUUAAUUGUUCAAGUUAGUAACAGAUUAUUAUAACAAUGAUGCUGAAUCAUGGACUCAUAUCCCACAGGUGCCAAUACACUUGCUUCUAGCAUUCACUAGAGUCCAUCUGGCUCUUGCAGGACUAAACUUUAAAGAUUUCACUCCAAUAGUCCAAUGGAGCUGCCAUUGCUCUGUUCCAGAUUUAAUUUGUAGUAGCUACUACUCAAAUAUUUACAUAGUAACUAGUAUGGGUUAUGGCCACUUUCAAGUUUCAACAGCAAUCCCCUGUCAGCUCCAUUUCUCAUAACAUCAUUAGCUCGGCCAAUUGCAGUACCUUGUUCAAAUUAGAAACAACCGGGAGUAUACUCGCUCCGUCCCAUUUAAUUCUAUACGUUCACUAUUUGGCAUCCAUUUUAAUAUUUUUAUAAAAUAUUGUUCUAUGAUUUAUUUUUAAAUUUUCUUUCCUGAAUAAAAAUUUAAUUUUAAAUUUUUAUUCAGAAAAAAAAAUCUUAAAAAACUAAUAAAAUUACACUUCGGAGAAGUAUUAAGGUGUGCCUGACGGAGUGAGCAGACAUUAAUCAAAAAGAAUAUUACCUCCAUCCCAAAUUAGUUGAGCUAGUUGACUUUGGGCACGUAACUUUAGGUGCAUUGACCGUCUAGUUCUGAAAUUUAAUUUUUUGAUUUUUCUUUUGUUAACGAAAAUUUCAUAUCUAAAUUUUUAUUUACAAAAAUAAAAUUUUAAAAAUAAAUAAUGUAGCUAUGCGGUCAAUGGAUUUUAAAGUGCGUGCCCGAAAUCAACGAGCUCAUCUAAUUUGGGAUGGAGGGAAUAUCUGGUAUAUGAAACUAUUGUUGGAAAAGGAGUGUUGGAAGGUGUCAAUUUGAAUGUGGAUUUGAGUAGGUUAUAGAUCACAUUUAACGUGUCAUUUUGACCAUCGAUUUGAACAGGUCUCUCCUCCGUGGAGAUAUUUCCAAAAACUCAUAAAAUUGAUCAAAACGACUAAAAGAUAGUACAGUAUAGGAGAAAUUCGAUUAUCCAUAGGAGCCAUAGAAAUGAAAAAUUGGUACAUAUAUGCUCCCGCUUCAAGAUAAAAUAUUUGUUUAAUUGAUAUAUAAACUCGUGUUGGAUCUCACCUAAAAUAAUCUGUCUUGUUGUAAAAAUAUUAUUAGCAGCGUACCUUCGUAGGUGCAUCAUCUCGUCACAGAAUCCAGCCCUGGAAAAGAUAUCCCGAGCAUGAAAAAGCUAUGAAACUCAGGAUGGAUAGCGCGACAGUUUGAACAAAUACACACAUUCAGGAAUAGAGAUCACCAUGCAUAUGUUAUUUUGUUGGCGCUAUCCCUCCUGAGCUUCACAGAUUCUUCACUGCUUCAAUUCCUUAGAAAACCGAGGGAGGAAGAUGAGUGUUUAUAGACUUCUUUGGUGAGAAGGUUGUGUUGUUUCCUAGCCAGAGAGGGUCCAUGUAUUUAUACACGAGAGAGAUGGUGAGAGAGAGGGAGAGAGAGAGAGAGAGAGAGAGAGAGAGAGACGUCCGAAAUAAAAAGUCAAAGAAACGUCAUGCAUAAUCUAAGAUCUCAUGGAGCCAUGAGACGAGUGUUUUGACGAGAAGUUUGUUUCUACUUUACUUCGCAUAAAUCCUUCCUCGAUCUCUCCCGUAUCGGAGUGCAUGCAAAAUAGUACAAGGAGUGUGAAGUGAGGAUUAAUUAAUAAUUAGUUGGAUUCCAAAUCCUGACCGAAUUCGUAAUAGUUUUUCAGUUUUAGUUGUGGAUGAAUAAAGUUCAAUAUUAAUAUUCAUGUCUUUCCCGAAUAUUUUACGAUCCUCGUGAGCCUGUGUGCCUCCACUUAAAUCCCGGCAUUUAAAACAUCCCUGGCAAAAAUCGGUUUAAAGUCAGAAAUAAGUUAGAAAUUAACUUAAAAAAAUCAUAAGUUAGUUUAAGGUAUUUUUUCCGGUGACUAAUUUUUUUAAAAAAAAUUUUAGAUAAAUUUUAUUUCUAAGUCAUAAGUUAUUCAUAAAUUACUUUUAUUUUUAUUAUUAUAUUUCUAAUAAUUCAUAAAUUAUUAAUAAAUCAAAAUUAUCCAUAUAAACAUUUUAAGCUCUCAAUAUACCGAAUAAAUCACGUUAAGUCAUAAAUUACAAGCUCAAUCACAUGCUAUGACUCUUGCCAUUGAUAGAGUACAGUAGUAUGCAUGGGAUUAAUUUCUGCUACGUUAAUAGCUGUAAAUUGCUUCUCCACGUCUGUUCCCUUUGACAACUCCAUCCUGGCAUCCUUUAUAUACUCAUUAUCAUCUUUAGUCUUUGUUCUUGGCUUCAGAGUCACUGCUCCUAGGCGUCUAGUAAAUACUCCCUCCGUCCCCGUCAAUAGUAUACAUUGGGGGACGGGGGCGCGGCACGGACUUUAAUGCUUCAAUAUAGUACAGUUAUGUAAAUUAUUUUUAAGAUUUUCUUUUUUUGUAUAAAAGUAUAACAUUUAUAUUUUUAUACAAAAAAAGAAAAUCUUAAAAAUAAGUUGUGGAACUAUGUUUUAUAAGAGCCUUAAAAAGCGUGUCGAACAGUGAAAAAGAAACGUAUACAAUUGACUGGGACAGAGGGAGUAUCAUCCUAUGAUACGGACAUAAGAUUAUACUCAAUGAGAUUUGAGAUUUAUUUAUUUUUUCCGGUCGUAAAUAAUCUCGUACCACUAAACCGACCGACGUGAAAAAAUUGUCGAGUUAAAAUUGAUCGGCUAAAUUCGGUCGGUUUUGACGAGAUCAACGUCGUUUUGCCUUGCUAGCAAGACCCCGACAUAUUUUAACCGACCACAAUGAAAACGGUCGGUUUUAUAGCUGAUGUGUCCGUGUCUUAACCGACCAGGUCAUCGGUCAGUUAUGCAUUUGUGUAAAUUUAAUUAAUUUUUAAAUAAAACAAAACCGACCACCCAAUUUGGUCGGCUUUAGACUUAAAACCGACCGUUUUUUACUGUCGAUUUUUUCCUGUUUUUUUAGUGUACACUAUAUAAUUAAUAUAUAAUAUAUUUGAUUAUAUCAAUAAGUAUUAAUUUUUAUCUUCGCGAGGGGAUACAAACAAAUAGGCAUGUGAACGAAGUUAUAUGUCAUGUUUUGAAGACUGAUUUUCGUAAAUGAUUGGUGAGUGUGGUGUGGAGGAACCUAAUCAAACAUUUGUCCGGAGCAUGAAAAUCAGAUUCAUGAUUAGAAAGAAAAUCCAUCCAGCCGGACAAAAUAAAAAUAAUGUCACAUAGCACUUGUCACAACUGACCACCACCAAACUAUUCGGCACAUGCUUUUCUCGUUCGAAAACGAUUUGAAUAUAAUUGUAAGGUACAUAACCCCCGAAUAUAACCGAUUUUGACAGAGAUUUUGUGUUAAGAUUUCUUGAUAAAUAUAUGUGGUAUAUCUAAUAUAUGCCGAUGGCUAAAUCCCGCGGUUUACGGUGUGAUUUUUAUAAAAAUCUUGGCAAAUCACAUCUCGUAGGGUCGAGGUAAUGUUGAGCGGGACAAUCUUUCAAGUAGAGUACAGUCUACGGGAAAUCAUAAAAGUUUGAUUAUUCCGUCAGAGAUUCAGAGUGCAGCAGCGGCAUUAAAAUUUUGAUCCGUAACUCUCUUACACAUGCACAUGUAUAUAGUAACAUGCAUUCCGCAGUCUGAUCAAGUCAAACCUCAUCUCUAAGUAUAUGUAUACAGUUGUAACAAUAGUAACAGGAAAACAGAUAGAUAGACUUUGACGUAGUUUAAACUUAUCCAUGUAUCAGGCUAUGUACCUAUAUAUACCUUCAUGCUACUAAUGAAUAUAAUCAAGCCUUUCACACUGAAAUCUCAGUUGGUAAAAUCGUGUUAUGGUAUCAGAGCCAUUAUCGGUUUAACAACCACUAGAUCCGCAAACAAACAAUCUUUACAUUCUGAACCAUCUUAAUCUCAAACAAUUUUUCAAUGGCUUCCUCAACCCAAACUGUUACCUCAGACACAGAAAUCAUUCAUCUCAAUGCCCCUACACAUUUACCAACGAAAUUAACUCAAAACAAUUUCCCUGUAUGGAGCACACAGGUGAAAUCAACUCUAAUUGGUCUUGGAGUGAUAAGCUACAUCGAUGGGACAGUCGAAAUUCCGGCGCAAUUUUUAAAAGAUAAUGUACCCAAUCCUGCCUUUAUGGUAUGGAACAGACAAGAUAAAAUCAUUUUGAGUGCACUCCUAGGAAGUUGCCAUGAGACCAUACAACCACUUGUUUCAACUGCUCUCUCUGCCAAAGAAAUGUGGGAGCGAAUUGUUAUCAUGUUCGCAAACAAAUCAAGGUCACGAGUAAUGUCUCUCAAAAGUCAUCUCCUUUCAAACCCAUGUGGCUCCAGGCCCAUCUCAGAGUAUCUCAGAGAUAUACGCACAACAGCUGAUGACCUUGCCAUUGCAGGUCAUCCAAUGGCGGACGACGAUCUCGUACUAUUGACUCUAAAUGGUCUCAGUGAUGAAUACAGUAACAUUCGAUCAGCCAUCAAAGUACGUGAGGCACCUAUGACAUUUGCUGCUCUUCACGAACAACUUGUUGACCAUGAACGAGGCCUGAAAAAUAAAGUUCCUGAGCCUACUGUUGUGACUGCAAACUUCACACAGAAAGUUAAUCAUAAUUCACGAGGUAUGUAUUCAAACUCAUCAUUUACUCCUCGUACAAAUUCAUCUUGGAAUCAAUCAUCUCCAGGACGCCCUUAUGGCUCCCACUCUGGCCGAAACAAUCAGCAAUAUUUCAACAAGCAGACUCAGUCCUAUAUCAAAAAUAACCGUCCCUAUUGUCAAUUUUGUCAACGCCAAGGACAUGCCACCAAAGAGUGCCGACAACUAGCUCGUUUUUUGAAGGACAAUGAUAUCCAGAAUCCAACACCUGCAGUUAAUAACACCAUGCUUCAACCAAAUCAGAAACAACAAUGGCUGUUUGAUACAGGCGCUUCACAUCAUAUCACGAAUGACCCAACUAAUUACACUUCUUUUUCAGAUUAUGGAGGUCCAGAAGAAGUUUUGAUCGGCAAUGGUUCAGGUCUUCCAAUAACACAUACAGGAACCUCUCAUUUAAAUUCUGAUGCAAAAAAUUUCAUAUUAAAUGAUGUUUUAUGUGUUCCUUCUUUAAACAAAAAUCUCAUCUCAGUGGCAAAAUUCUGCAACACUAACAAUGUUUCAAUUGAAUUUUUUCCCUUACAGUUUCAGGUCAAGGACCUCAAAACGGGAGUGGUACUACUGCGCGGGGAGAAUUACAAUGAUGUCUAUUAUGCUCAUUCUAUUCCACAAAAUCUCAUGUCUCCUCAAAUAAAUGUCACCAACUCCACGUUGAUUGAAUCUUGGCACAAUCGGCUGGGCCACCCAGCUUUCCCUGUUCUGAGGCAUUUGCUUCUAUCAAAUAAUUUAGUUAGUUCUAUUCCAUCUGAUUCACUGUUUUCAUGUAAUGCCUGCAACUGUAAUAAAAGUCAUAAACAACCUUUUGGUGUUUCAUCAAUGACAAGUUCUCGCCCUUUAGAAUUGAUAUAUACUGAUGUUUGGGGCCCUGCUGUCACUUCCAUUGAUAAAUUUAAAUAUUAUCUCUUAUUUGUUGAUCACUACACCAAAUACAUAUGGCUUUAUCCUAUAAAACAAAAAUCAGAUGUGCACCAUGUCUUUAUUCAGUUCAAACAGGUUGUGGAAAAAUUCUUUAAUUUAUCCAUUAAAUCUAUUUUUUCAGAUAAUGGUGGCGAAUUUGUCGCACUUGCUUCUUUUCUGAAUUCUCAAGGCAUCUCACAUUUUACUACUCCUCCACACACUCCUGAACACAAUGGCAUGGCUGAACGUCGUCAUGGUCAUAUUGUCCAAACAGGUCUCACUCUUUUACAUCAGGCAUCACUACCUUUAACCUUCUGGUCUCAUGCUUUCCAAGCGGCAACAUAUCUCAUCAAUCGUUUGCCAUCCAGAACCAAUCAGUAUUGCACCCCGUUUGAGUCACUCUUUGGUAAAUCACCAAAUUACUCACGGUUAAAGAUUUUCGGUUGUCUUUGUUAUCCAUGGCUUCGUCCAUACAAUAACUCGAAACUACAACCUAAAUCUGUGCCAUGUAUUUUCUUAGGAUACUCUCCUUCUAAGUCCUCCUACAAGUGCCUUGAUCUCAAUCAUAAUCGUCUGUAUCACUCACGACAUGUUCAUUUUGUGGAGUCCCAAUUUCCUAUGCAUAAUAAGACGCGUGAUUCUGCUCUCCCAGUUGUGCCAGACUCGUACUAUCCUCCUUUGAACCCCACUGUUGUUACUACACCACCUUUAACUACCACUAUUUUACCUCAAUCACAAACCACUCAAACUGCUUCCUUUACAGAAACCCCACCUGCUUCACAUGAAGGUCCCACGUCUUCAUCCUCUAGUCAAAUAAAUUCACCCGUUGUAUCUUCACCUCCCUCGGCUUCAUCACAAAUUGAGUCUACUUCAGUAUCUCAUCCACCUUCACCCUCUCCCAAUCUACUGCCGGAACCUCGUUCUAGACGUCCCAAUCCAAAAUACUUUAACUCACAAUUCAUAAAUCAUACCACCCUUCAUCCCAUUUCUCCUUCAUUAGAGCCUAAAUCAGUAUCACAAGCUUUAAAGGAUCUUCACUGGCGCGAAGCAAUGUCCCUUGAAUUUGAUGCUCUCACUAAAAAUGGCACUUGGGACUUGGUGCCAAAAUCAAAUCAGCCAACAAUAGCGUGUAAGUGGGUUUUUCGGAUUAAAAGAAAUCCAGAUGGGUCUGUUAAUAAAUAUAAGGCGCGCCUUGUUGCAAAAGGCUUUCAACAGCGUCCGGGUGUUGAUUAUUCAGAAACUUUUAGCCCGGUCACCAAGCCAGCAACAAUUCGGAUUGUGUUAAGUAUUGCUCUUUCUCGUGGCUGGCCAACUCGUCAACUGGACAUUAACAACGCAUUCCUUAACGGGCACCUGAAUGAUGAGGUAUACAUGGUCCAACCUCCAGGCUUUUUGCACCCUUCAUAUCCACAUCAUAUUUGCAGACUUCGCAGAACUAUCUAUGGUUUAAAACAGGCAUCUCAUGAAUGGUAUAAAGCUCUUAAAACCUUUCUGCUUGAGUAUGGUUUUAAAAGUUCUGUUGCUGAUUCUGCAUUAUUUAUUUAUCACUCAGCGGGCAUCAUUAUUUAUUUUAUGGUUUAUGUGGAUGAUAUUGUGCUUACUGGGAACAAUGUGCCGUCUGUUAAUAAGUUUGUUGCAUGUUUGAAUCAAAAAUUCUCUCUGAAAGAUUUGGGACCACUGCAUCAUUUUCUGGGAGUUGAAGUUAUUCCUACCAAUUCAGGUCUAUUCUUGUCUCAAGCUAAACAUAUUUCUGAUUUAUUAUCGCAACAUCAUUUAGAUGGUGCCAAAGAGAUGAUUACGCCUAUGUCAGCUACAUCAAAUUUAGUGCUUCAUGAUGGCUCUCAAUCUAUUGAUCCUACUCCAUAUCGCAAGCUUGUUGGAGGGCUACAAUAUUUAUCAAUCACUCGGCCGGAUGUGUCUUUCGCAGUUAAUAAAUUAUCUCAAUUUAUGCAUGCUCCUACUGAAAACCAUUGGGUUGCUCUUAAACGCAUCCUGCGAUACCUCAAAGGGACAAUUCAUUAUGGUCUGUUCUUGCGCAAAAAUUCUCCGCUACAAUUAUCUGCUUUUAGCGAUUCAGAUUGGGGUGGAGAAAGAGACACUGGACGUUCCACUACAGGUUAUGUUGUGUACUUGGGUUCCAAUCCAAUUUCAUGGAAAUCAUCUAAACAAAAUUCUGUUUCGAGGUCUUCUUCAGAGGCGGAAUACAAGGCCGUCGCUAAUGCAGCAGCUGAACUCAUUUGGCUUAAAAAUCUAUUAUCUGAGUUACAUAUUCCUGCUUCAUCUCCGCCUACCAUCUACUGUGAUAAUACAGGGGCAACAUAUUUGAGCUCCAAUCCUGUAUUUCACUCGCGCAUGAAGCACAUCUCCUUGGAUUAUCAUUUUGUGCGUGAACAAGUGGCUGCUGGAUCUCUUCGUGUUGCACAUGUUCACUCUAAGGAUCAAUUUGCUGACAUUCUUACGAAACCUCUCUCUCGACAAAGUUUUCUUCAUCUUCGCACCAAGCUGGGAGUCUCCAAUGGAGCCUCCAUCUUGAGGGGGCGUAACAUGCAUUCCGCAGUCUGAUCAAGUCAAACCUCAUCUCUAAGUAUAUGUAUACAGUUGUAACAAUAGUAACAGGAAAACAGAUAGAUAGACUUUGACGUAGUUUAAACUUAUCCAUGUAUCAGGCUAUGUACCUAUAUAUACCUUCAUGCUACUAAUGAAUAUAAUCAAGCCUUUCACACUGAAAUCUCAGUUGGUAAAAUCGUGUUAUAUAGCAUGCAUGCAUGUUCACCAGAAAAAGGUACAUUCUUCCCAUAUGAUAUGACUCUACGAGUUCGAGUCUUCGUAGAUCUGCAGGCUCACUUUAGCCGGCUUGUACAGGCCCGGCACAGAGGGUGGGCGAGCAAGGCGACCAAGACCCAUGCUUUUCAAAGGGCUCAAAAUUUAAUAGUAUAUAUUAAGAUUUAAUAUAGAUUUUGUCCAACUACUCACAAGUCUAUGUGUCCUUGUGUAAUAUAUUGUUUUUCAAAUUUCACAAAUUUAAGCACAUGACAUCUUGAGCUAAUCCACUUCUAAAGAUUCAAAAAUUGAAUAAAUUGAAGGCUACGUAGGUUUCUUAUCUUGAUUUCAUUAGUAUAAUUUAUGUAUUAACACAUUUAAUUAAAUCUGAAUUCACAGUAUCAUAAAUAUUUUAUAAGAAUUUUUUUUGGAAAGGGUCAAAAUCUUAUUUUCGCCUUGGCCCAUACUCCCUCUGUCCC
rnacentral:lncRNA from 1 species